rnacentral:lncRNA from 1 species
GAUCAUCAUCUCUCAGUCCUAAAUGAGAUGCAAGAUGCAUAUGGAUGAAUAUAAUGAAAGUAGCACAAGAUAUACAAAGACACAUUGACAAACUAAACAUUAAAUUGGAAGACUCCGUAAAACAACCACAUGUUAGAAUUAGAUAUCUACAUUUCAUCGAGCGCACAACAUCAACACCACUGGAAGGACGACGAUUACUACUUUUAAUUAACCAACACAAUAGGACAUCACAAGUAUGAACAUUUAUUUAACUUGCUACGGCUUUUCCUUAGUUCUUCACCCAAACACACAAAGCACCCCAAACAACAUAAGUUUAAAUAGGACCUAGGCAUCAAGGUCUAUGAAACUCCUAUAUCACAAUCAACUACAGCAAGCAAGCACAUUAAUCAUGGAACACAUGUUAACCUAUGUUUAGCCAUUACAAGUCUAUGUCCGCUAAGUGCUAACUAGGCAUUUUUAGCCAAAAGGGUGAACUCAAUCAUCAAAUGGGCACUUGCAGAUUUUUGGGACAGCAACACAGCAGCUACUUGUUUUGAUCAUAACUUUUCAAAUAUUAAUCCAAAAAUAGAAAACUAGAACUUUCUGGAAAGUUUACAAAGUUCUCUACAACUUUGGUAUUGUCAUCAUAACAUAGUUCAACACUUAGCAAGGUUGAAUUGUGGAAACACAGCAGCUCUGUCCAGAUUUGGACAGAUUCAGACUUGCAACUUCCAAAAUUCACAACUAAAGAUUCAGACAUCCAAACAAAUUUAUCCUAGACUUUCUGGAAAGGUAAUGAAAUUGUUUACAUACCAUUUAUAAAUAUCUCAAGGUGAUUCAAUAUUUAACUAAGGAUAAAAUACACUAGAAGACUUUGCUGUCUAGAACUGGACAGAUUCAGUCUUCUCACUUUAAACAUUAAUAACUUAAUCUUAAGAUCACCAAAAAGAGUGAUCCAAGACUUUUUGGAAUAUUUAGAAAAAGCACUAUAUAACUUUUAUAAUCACCAAUAAGGGAUUCAAUGUUUAACUAAAUCAAACAACACAGUUUUUGAAAUCUGUUCUGACGGUGGACAGAACACAACAAAUAGUCUGUAAAAUUCAUAACUCCUAAACUAUCAGACCUAUGGUUAUGAAAUUUUAACACAACCAAGAUAAGAAAAGCAUCUAUAACUUUCUUAUAAUCGACAAGGACUGAGUCUAACAUUAACUUGAGCAACCAAUGCAGUUUCUGAAAUCUAUACAGAAUUUGGACAGAUUCAGGUACUGAAUUUGUAAAAAGCAUAACUCCUAAAUUGUCAGACCUAUGGCUGCCAAAUUUUAAUACCAGCAAGAUAAUAGAGUUUUCUACAACUUUCUUGUGAACACCAAUAACUGAUUUCAAAAUUAACUUAAGCAACCAUUGCAAUUUCUGAAAUCUGUUCUGAAAUUCGACAGAUUCAGGUGCUGGACUUGUGAAAAGUAUAGCUUCUAAACUAUCAAUUCUCAGCUCAUGCAUUUUUAGGACGAGCUAGAUACACAAGUGAACUAAAACUUUUAUAUAGCAUAUAUUUACAGAAAACAUACUUUACUUAACUAGAUUAAUCGCACAACUAAAACCGUACACGCAGGAAAUUAAGCUUGUGGUCAAAAUAACACUUAACUCAAGCACCAAACAAAAUUAUGAAGGGAUAGUGCCAAAUUCUCAAGUUUAAAUCAUUGUGAUUUAGUUAUCAAGUUUCAAUUUAUAUGAAGACACUUAAACAUUUCAAUAAACAUGCACGCUUUUGUUUACUUCUAAUUUGUCACUAAUUCUUGUUAUAAUUAUAAAAUAUGUGUCAUUUUAGCACCAUAUAAAACUAUCUAAUCUGGGGCUAAAAUUUUUAUGAGGCAUAGGUAAUAACAAAUUAUGACUAAUGUACAAAUUUCACAUGCCCAGCUUUUAUAUUUUAUUUAAUACAAAAAUAACAAAUUGUUAAUGCAAUAAAGCAUUAGAGAGCAAGUUAAAUCUAAAACUAAUUAUUUUCUGUGGAUUCAUGACCAUAUUAAGUUUUCUUAGGCCAAUAUAAUAUCAUACAAGGACAGUGGAACACUAUUUUCCAUUUUUACACUCAUACAUUAUUUAUAAAUCAUUUAAAACUACUUAAUAUGCAUCAAACAAGUAAAAUCACUAACUUAAUCAUACAUGCACCAUAAAUCAUGAAAUUAUUACCAGUCACUGAGCACCACACAGAGGGUCUACUGUAAAAAUUUCAAUCCAUUUGGAGCAAUAGAGCUACAGAUCCAAAAAUAACAAGAAAAUAAAUCUUCUUUUCUCUAUUUAACUUGUUUUAAUUAACACACCAAGAAAACAGUGAACAACAUAUAAGUUUUAUAUUUUUCCUUGAUGGAGUACGACAACAUCUAACUAAAAAAACAGGUUUCAUAAUUUUUGAAUUUUUAUAAAUAAAAUUAUGGAGAGAAGCAAGUUCGUUUAUUCUCUAAACCAGUUUUUAAAUACGAAUUUCUACGGAAAACCUUUUCCACUAAAACAUGCCAACCUAUAGAUCUAACAGAUAGAUAUAUUCAUAAGUAAGGCAACAAAACAAGUUUCGUGAUUUUUGGAGCUCUAAAACUCGAGAUAUGAAUAUUUGAAGGAAGAGCAAAAAUCUGAAACUUUUGUGUACUCACAUCUCGCCUUGGGCCCACUUGUCAUUGGCUCAGGGAGUCAUCUUCUUCCUUGGUGCCUCACGUGAACAGCAGGAGGCUGCCGCUGGUUGUGUCCCUGGCCGUGUUGAUGCUAGAGCAUGGAGGAGAGGGGGAUUCCACGGCGAGGCACUGGAGCAUGAGUCUAAGGAGCUCCCUGCUGAAAUUUCUGGGCGCCAGGGAGGAACGCACGGAGGGGCACUGGCCCUAGGGGCUGCUCCAUGCGCGCCAUGGACAGGGACUUGGCCGAGGUCGGCCCAUGGAGGGGACGCUCGGCUGCUGCUGCGCGAGGAAGAAGGAGCAGGGGGCGCCACGCCAUGGCUGGCCAAGCGCGCGAGGAGGGGGCUGAGGGUAGGAAAAUGGCGUGGAGGAGAAGGGAGAGGGAGGUGGGCUGCCAUUUAUGGAGGAUAAGCUCCAGAGCACAACUGCCACGUUUCUCCAUUGCAGCAAUUCAUCGAACAUGUGGUGAGUGCUACAGUAGCGACAUUGGGCGGCCAUUUUUGACGUUUUCUGCUUGGAUUCGGACAUGGGUCACUGUAGCAAAGAUAUUUCCCACACAAUACUCUACAAGUUUGAUUAAGGGUUCUCAGUCAUUUGCAAACUAGAUUAAGAGAUAAUUAAGUCCAAAGUUGCUACUGUCAAAGGGUUAAUUUCACCAAAGAAUGGAUGUCAAACCUUGUCAAAAUGGGUCGGAUGAAUGCCAUCUUUUGAUAUGAUGUGCCUCCAUUAGUUACUAACAACUUUUAUAUUUGGUGAAAAUCAAGUUGUUUAACAAAUUUUAGGGAACGUGAGACGUCGACCCGAACGACACUGAUUUCAGACUUAGAAGAAUUCAAAUCCUGAAAUCAGAUUUUUAUUCUGUCUUGAUGGCACUGUUUGAGAUACUUAGAGAUUGAAUCAAGGCUUCAUUUAAAUAUAAAAUGUGUCGAAUAACACAAGUUCUACAACUUUUAUUAAAGGUCAAACCUCAUAUCUUGAAUAUAAAUAAAAGUUUCACUUUGGUCAAGGUAGUAUCAUUAUAAAGCUCUCGAUUAUAUUUUUAAGGCAAUCGGACUAUUUUCUUGACAUUUUCUUGGCAUGGACCCUCAAUAACUUUUGUUGUAGAGUUCACAUAGAGUUGUUUGAGCAAUAUGGCAAGACUUGGUUGAAUUUCAAAAUUUACAUUUGUUGAAACGAGAAGAUUCAAGCAAGUAUAGGAGUUAUUUUUUUAUGUGACCAUUUGUUUAAAACUUUGAGAAAUCUUUAGAAGACACUUGAUACAUAGAGAUGAAUGAUGAUAUAGAUAUAACAAGUCAAUUUGCAUAAUAAUUAAUUAGUGGUUGACACAAAGAGAUUCUGCGGGAGAAUGCGGAUUCGGAUUAAGUAUUUGGACGUAGACCGACUAUCGAGACAGCGGAUUCGGACAUAGAUCAGAAAAUAUCACAACUGUCAAGAGUCCGAAUAAAUGAGUCUGGACAGGAGUUACGAGACGAUAUUGACUUUCGAGUUUGCAUUUGCUCCGAGAAAUAAAAGUUUUAACAGACUCCAAAUUUGGUUGUUCUUGAGAUCGAAUAAUUCCAAACUUGGUGAAACAUUCAUGAGUAACUUGAUGAAUGGAGAUAGAUGUGAUCGAGAAAUAGAAAUUUUCACUAAGCAUCCGAGAUUAGGAUAAAUCUCCCGACAUAACACGAAAUAGAUGCCUGGGGUCUCACAAGCAGUACCAGAGACAGUUCCCUCAGCAGCAGCAGCAGUACCGCUAGAACAAUCAGGCACCUCGCCUUCCUGCCCUAGCAACCAACCAGAACAACGAAGCAGCUCCAGCGCAAGGAGGAGGCCGCAAAUGUUUCCAUUAUGGGGAACAAGGCCACUGGGCGAAUCAGUGCCCAAACAAAACAGCUCAGCAGCAGCCAGCUCCCAAUGCCCCUGUAAGACAGAAUGCACCUCAAGAAGGAGGUAACAACCAUGGGCAGCCUCGUGCCCAGUACGGAAAGGUGAACCACCUGGAAGCCGACAUAGUCUAGGAGACCCCAGGAGUGGCACUAGGUAUGUUCUCAAUUGUAUCCCAUUCUGCAAAUGUGUUAUUUGAUACUAGAGCAACACAUUCUUUUGUGACUGCAUCAUGGGUAGAAACACACAAUAUACUAGUAGCACCCAUGUAUCCAUCUAUGAGGGUUAGUUCAAUUGGUGGGAGGACCCAAACAGAUAGAUUUUGCCCCAGUGCAAGAGUUCAAAUAAGGGGGAUAGAGUUCCCCGCUGAUAUGAUAAUAAUGGGUACCUGGGAUGUACCCAUAGAUGUCAUCCUAGGGAUGAAUUGGCUAACCAAAUAUCAAGCAAGCCUUAACUGUGACAAGAGGACUGUGAAGUUAGUGUCCUUAUCAGGAAAGGAAGUGUUAGUGGAGUUGGUCUUGUCUGGACCAAGGAAAGGAAGGUGUCACCAGAUCACCGCCCAUAUUGAGGAAAUCGAGCCAUCAGAAGCUAUCAAAGUAUUAUCAGAAUCCCCGGAUGUGUUUCCCGAGGAUUUACCAGGCAUGCCACCUGAAAGAAAAGUUGAAUUUGCCAUAGAGCUUAUACCUGACACCGCCCCUAUUUCCAAGAGAGCCUAUCGAGUGUCUAGACCAGAAUUGGUGGAACUCAAGAAGCAGAUUGAUGAAUUGUUAGAGAAAGGCUACAUGAGACCAAGUACCUCGCCUUGGGCCGCCCAGUGUUAUUUUUGGAGAAGAAAGAUGGGACAAAGAGAAUGUGCAUUGAUUAUAGAUCUUUGAAUGAAGUCACUAUCAAGAACAAGUACCCCUGCCCAGAAUUGAAGAUUUGUUCGAUCAAUUGAGAGGAGCCAGUGUGUUCUCGAAGAUAGAUCUAAGGUCAGGUUACCAUCAACUCAGGAUCCGGCAUUCGGACAUACCGAAGACCGCAUUUAUCACCAAGUAUGGACUAUAUGAGUUCACGAUCAUGUCAUUCAGUUUGACGAAUGUGUAACACCCCAGUUUUACUUAGGGUUGUUCCCUCAGUACCCAACUGAUAACCAUUAUCACAUGUAAACAUAAUUGACCAAAAGACCCCAAAACUUGAGAAGCAAAAAUUUGAGUGAGUCUUUUUAUCUUAAAGGGCAUACAUUAACCAUAUCAUGCACCACAAAGUGAGAAAAAUGCACAAAACCUAAAAUAACCCUAAGUAAGCCACUUAAGUGCAAAGAGAAAAAUUUGUAAAAAGAUUAUGAAAAACAUAAAAUCAUGAUGAGGACCAAAUAAUGUAGUAAGGAAGAUUUAUUAAAGGGGUUUUGUAAAAUUCCCAAAAUAGCCCCUUAAGUGAAAACUCAAUGGGAAAUUCAGAAAAUUCAGAAUCUAAAUUUCGACCUCUUCAUAAAGAUCAGCCGUGUUCUCUGUUUUCCAAAACUCAAAUCUGCAAAGUCCAAAUACCAAGUUGGUGCCAAAUUACCUUAGGCACGUCCUGGAUAAGUUUUGAGGCAAAUCCCAGCCGUUUGACAUGGUUUGACAUGGUUUUGCCUCGGGACACACCAGUGAGACACUGGCAACUUGAGGACACGACAACUCACUAUACACGGCCGGAAACCCCUCGGCUCCCACACAUAAACGACAAAGCUUACAUCAGGGAACAAAUAUUGCAUAGCAAUCUUGCCCAAAUUCGUGAAGAUAUGAAGCCUAUCAGCGUUAGAACAGGAGCAGAAGCAAUGUGCCACGUGCUCGACCGUGGCUGACGCGCCGGUGCACGCCAGCCCACGCGCCCGCACCGAGCCAUGCGCGCCAGCACGCCCGCGCUGGUCCACGCCCGACCGUGCACCGCGCCCACGCCUAUAAAGCCACCUCGGAUGCGCAACACUCCACUCCGCACCUCGCCUGACUUCCCAAACCCAGCUCUUAGAUCCGGCGAGCUCUACGCCGCCCGCCCGAGCCACCCGAGCACUGGCCACCGCGGCCAGCCAUUCCCGUAGACAACUAGCCUCACUCGAGCCCCUGGAUAGCUUCCCCGUGGAGCCGUGAAGCUUUUCCAAGCAAGAACCGAGACCCUGCCUCACCGGAGCAGCGGGAUCACCCUCGCCGGACUUCGGCCGCCUGCCACCGCGCGUAGACCGAGCUACCAGGUACACCAUUCUCCAAUUGCUCGCGCCUACGACUUCCCUGACCUCCCGUGAAGCUCCCCAACUCAAUGGACUGAGUUAUUCCGCCGUGGUUAGGCCGGGAUCCUCGACGCUGACGAGCUUCCCUGCCUACGCACGAGGUCCGACCAACUCCGGCCAUCCCCGACGACGACCCGCACAUCAACGUGACCGCUGCAACCUCCCCUACGUCAUCGACCACUUCACCGGAGCUAUCUCGCCGCCGAUAAGCCCCGCCGCCCUUCUCUCCGACGCGGGUACUGUUCCAAUAGGGGAAGGACCACGGGUUAGAUUUAGGGUUACCCCAGGGGGUUUUCUGCAUUGUUAGAGACUCGGUGGAAUAGUAACCCGAGGACCCAUUUGUAAGGAACACAGAAAAAGUAUACCAGGGACCCUAGCACAAAGUAGUUUUCCUUUUCCAUUUUGAAAUUCAAAUAUUUAAAUCUGCAACAAACAAGUUAAAUGAAUAACUUAAAGAAUACUCAUCCGAAAUUAGUCAAACAAAUUUUGUUAGGCUCUGUGAUUUAUGCACUAUCAAACAAAAAUAGUAAACCUCAUGUCUUCUAUACUAAUUUUUAGAGUUUGAAUUUAAAUUAGGAAAUUACCCAAACCUUAUUAAUACAGUGAAAAAUAGAAAUACUUCUAUACUGGACUGGAGAAAAUUUGUGGAGAUACUUACCUAGCAUAUGCACUGUUUAAAAAUAAUGAACACCCCAGUAUACAAAAAUAAAUCAUUAAUGCCCAUUAAAGACUGUUUCUACCCAAACUUUAAAAAAUGAAAAGGGUGAUGAAAAAUAAAAACCAGAGAAUAAACAUAUUUUCCUAGUAUGCCAAAGUCAUAUAGAACCUAGGAAAAAUAUAUGGAACCAUAGUCUAGUGCUAAUCUAAGGUUAUAAUUUUAUUUGGCAUUAAGAAAUCAAGAAAAACCACGAUUAAAAAUAUAAGGUCAAAUAAAAUAAUGGCAAGAAAAAUUCAGUAGACCUCUAACUACUAGUAUACCACUGCAAAAAUGAUAAACACCCCAAACUAUCACAGUAAGCAAGAUAAACAAAUAAAACUUGGGUUUAGCCAAUACUUCAAAUAAAUCCAAAUAAAGGCUAAAAAUGUGAAACAGUGAGCAAACCAAUUUUUACCCAACUGCUUAUGAUGUAAACUACCAUAGAAAAAUAUGAAACUAAGAUAAAAAUAUGAUAUAAUACACCUCACCCCUACCCCAUGAAAAGGACCAUAUAUUCCAAGAAAUUCUACCCCUUCCCUUUGAGCAAAAUUAGCCAACUUCUAGAAUGAUUGCUCUUGCGCAAACAAGAAGAUUGAAAAAUUAGGAAAUCUGUUGUUUGACAUUUUUCAAAUAUAGUAGUAGUAGAAAGCACCACUAGGCCCUAAAACUUUAGAAACUCCCAAUAAAAUGACCAGUAGGUAUCAUUGGCUAAAAUUUGGUGCAAAGUCUUAUUAUUACCCCUAGAUGCCAGCAAAAAUAAACUUUAGGGAAAACCCCACUGUUAGAAGAGAGUUGUAGUUCAAAGCAUCCCCUCUACCCUAAAUUUUAAUAUUUUUGUACAGAGAAAACCAUUAUCAUUUUAAGCCUAAAUUUUUGAGACUUAGCUUUGCAAACCAGCGAGAAGCCAAAUUACAGAAUGUUUGGAAAUUUUUGAAACUAUGUUGUAGUUCAAACCUACUCUAAAAUGCAUAAGUAGGAAAGGGAAAAAGAGAAAAUUAAUAGAAGUGAUAAAUCUCAACCAUAAUAACUUCAGCAAAGACCUUGUUAAAAUUUCCACUGAGACAUUAAAGGUUAAUGGAGUACUAAAUUAACUCAACCUCCAGACCUUGGCCACACCCAAUUCUAAAUGGCUAAGUAUGCCACUAAAACCUCCAAUAGAAGGGUUUGGUUUUAUAUCACUAACUUAAUCAUUUCACCUUGCAUUAUCAAUACUAAAUUACAUAUCAUGGCAUACAUUUAUCUUAUUCAUUGCAUUUAUUAGAGUGCAACCUCGCUGACGGAUAUUACGUGCUCAUUCCCGAGCAAGGAGCUGUCCAAGAGGAAGCCCAGGAGCGAGCUCAAGAGCCUACCACCGAGGAUCUCCCCGCAGCCCCAGCUUUUGAAGGCCAACCCCGGUUUUAUGCAUAACUAUUUAUAUAUGCUACUUUACUACACUUAAUGUUUGAAGGCUUGUAAUGUGCACUUAAGUGUAGGAGUUGCUUGAAACCCUUAGUUGCAUGAACUCAUGAUUCCUUUUUGAGAUGGAUACUAGUAUGCUAGGUCGAGUAGCUGCUUUGCUAAUCAGGAUCUCGGUAGAAGUCGAGUGAUUUUUCUAGCACUCGCACGAGGUCAGGCAUUGAUUGUAUUCAUCUUGAUAACGGGAUCCAUGAUGGUCUAUGGACUUGGAUCAAGGGUGGAUGCCUUGUCUAUGAGACGGAAAUGGAAUUAAGGAUUAAUGUGUGGAUACCUGAGUCAAGCGUUUGAAAGUACUAAACACAUGUUGGGAAAUAUGGUAACCGGUAAACCUAGUACCUGAGUGAACCCGGACAUGGACUUUCCCCCUCACUUGUCCUGAGACAGGGUCUCCCAUGCUAGCUAUGGUGGGUGCAAGUGCAGCCACUGCACGGCGGCAGACGAGGUCAGUGGGGCAUUGCAUGCCAAGGCGGUGAGUCCUGGCCGCGAACGGGGAAUCGAUGGGGACGGUUGACGUAUGUGGGGAUGGAGUGCCCCUACAUGUCGUGUGUUUAGGUUUACCUUGCAAGGUUAAAAACUCGAUUUGAAUCGUCUGCUUCUCACAGCUAAUGAGACUGCUUGACCCCUUGUACUGCAUUGAGUAAAAAGUGAAAUGAGGUUUUACUUGAGAUAACAUGUUGAUUGUACUAAAUGAUUGUUACCAUGUAUGCUUAGAAAGGAGCGAACCUAGCUAAAUUAAUUAUGCUAGAACUGGAAAAGCUAAAAUAGAUUUUAGACUCAGCUAGUGCUUUUGGCAAACCAAACCCUACAGCCAAACAGCUGCAUGGUCUAGAGGUAGAGGAGUAGACUCCUCACACCGGGUAAGUCUAGCUGAGUAUUAGUAUACUCAGCCUUGCUUGUGGCAUAUUUUUUUUCAGGUACGCUAUAGGAUAUGGUUGACGGUGUGACUUGGCCUUCCACCCUGCCACCGGGUUGGACGGUUGAGUGGGAUGCUGCCUCGACAGAAGAGGACCAGGAGGAGUAGUGGGCUGGCCUUGCCCUAGUCCUCCUUAUCGUCGUUAUCGAUUAUCCGCUGCAUUUUAAUUAUGAACAUGUUCUCUUUGUCUAAAACUCUAAUUUAUGUAAUAACGCAAGUACCUUAAUUUGUGGUUUCAUGUUUAUUGUAUUCUCUUUGUGCCUCACCUUCGUGUGAGCUAGUGGUAUUCGAUCCUUGGUAAGUGGCUUUAUUAGACUAGAUCUGAGGGACUGACGGGUUAUUCUGAUUUAAGUGUGUUGCUGCCUCUAAGGCAUGACUUGGGCACUUAAGCUGGAAUAAUUCGGGUGGUUCUACCACAGCUGGUAUCGGAGCGAGUACCACUAUAGAGAAAUCAAUAAGUCAUGAAUACCAACUUUUCAAAAAUAAAAUUUGCUUAGAAACCAGAGUGGGGAAUCGUCAGGACUAGAACGCUAGACCUAGGACGAAAGGCAUCUGUAUACGGUGCAGCUAUACGAAGAGCAUCAGGUGCCACGUUGCAGGGUUUGGUUGACUAUGGAGGCUCACCCUCUGCGGCCGGGUUGGCGUUCCCUUAACUCUGUGACUAUUGGGUUCAGGGUGGACGACACCACCGAGGCCGCAGCUAUGAAGACCCUGGCGACUUUCUGCGGAUACCAUCCCUUGGAGAUGGUAAUGCACUCACUGGGACUCUUCCCCGCUGAGAAGAGGGAUGACCCCAUGUGGUACAACCGAGUGAGCCACGUGAAGGACGUGUGGGCCAUGCAUCCCGACCAAGUUAGGAGGAUCACCGUUCAGUGUAUGAGCACACUGUAUCGUCUACAGGCCUUGAAGAGCGAUGCCAUGGCACACCUCACUAACCUUGCUCAGACCACUAAGCUCACCCCUCGACAGUUGAGAGGACUUUGUGGUCGACUUGUCUUCAGAAUUGGUGUAAAAAGACCUACAAGUGGAACACUUAAGCCAGCGCAUCACAACCUUAGAACAACAGGUGAAAAUCCAGGAUAACACUGUCGGUAUCCUAGAAAUCCAGCUCCACGAUGUGCAGGAGGAACUUGGGGAAGCCAACGACCACCUAGAGAUGCAUCACCAGGACAUGGAGGUAAACGAGGCAGGAAGCGAAGGAGGGGAGACUCCUGAGGAAUUAGAGCCAGCUCCCUGUCAAAAUGCGACUCUCUCCGGGAUGCCCCCUUCACCCGCAUCCAGCGUUGCCUCUACCACAAAGGGUUGACAGGUUAGUUUUGUUGAGAACUACGUUACCACGGAUCACCAGAUCUGCUCCCUUCCCUCCCGUCAGCAGUAGAGGCGCAAGAAGAUGUAGAGAACUCGUCUCCCUUCCCAUAAGCACGACAGAGGAAACACACGAGACACUGGAUAUAGGGUUGGGCCUCUGGCCUCUUUCUGAUCUCUAUUCCACAUGAGGGGUACAGGUUCUAUAUAUAGAGACGCGAUAGCCCUCAGGGUUAUAUUCGGUAUUUGCCCACAUAACCCUUCAUUAGGGUUUCUCAACACUCCCCCUUGGGCGAAUACCGCGACCAACACAUGCCUCGUUAAAACUCCAAAAAAAUCCAGUGGGAAAAAUAUGGAGAAAGAGUGCAUGGUGAUACAAAUUGCAUUUGCACUUUGUUGCCUCGUUAAAAACCUCAUGUGAGAAACUUCAAGAAAACUCACCAAGGGAAAAAGAGUACAACAGCUGUCAUCGGGACAGAUUUCGAUCCUCUGGGAUCUAGAUUCUACCGAAUCUUCUGCAAAGGCUAAGUUUAGAAAUGUGCUCCCCCUGAUCCUUGCAAAACUGUAUCAAUAUGGCAAAAUAUUUUCUUCUGGAAGUAUAUGCACAUAUAGAUUUAGCAAACAGAUUGCAUAUCCUUGCAAAGAUUAUUUCAGGAACUUCACCUCAACUCACUUCUAGGAUACACGAGGUAAGUGCACGUAUCAACAUAAAUAAGCCACUUCGACUAGUGGUGUUCGAUCGACUAGAUCUACAUAUUUGAUAGAAACUUCCAUAAAGGUUCACAUAUUGAUUAUCAAGCUGACGCCUUCAGGGCAUAGAAUAUGACAUUUAUUGUCACACGAUUGUGAUCAAUAUAAGCAUUCGCUCCCCCUGACGAUGACAUAUGUCAAAGUCGUUAUCCCUCAUAACUCAAGCAUAUUCUUCAAGAUAUAUACCUCAUUAUUCAUCUGGAAUAACGAGAAUGGACGAGGUUGGGGUGCUAUCAUUUUCUAUCUUACACCACAAUUUAUACAUAGUUGUGCAAAGCAAGUAACAUGUCCUUAUAUAGGACUUAGGGGAUAAUAUAGUUGCAAUAGUACAUAUUCUAAAUAUGACACAUCGCUCCAGGCGUUCAUCCAUUGCAACAUCUAUGAUGGUGUAACAAAAGUCCAUCAAAGAUCGUAAUCCAUCAGAGAUUUUUCAUCGAUCAGAUACAUCGUUAUAGUCUGUCAUUCUGGCAUGAUGGGGAUAUUUUUGCUAGUAACACCUAAACCUUAUAGGUUUCUGCCAUCGGGGCUUUAGAGGAUACCGUAAUUCCACAUCAAGUGGAAAAUACCAUGAGUAAAACUCGUGGAAUGCACAUGUGCUUAUUCGGUGAACUUCAAGUCCUUUGGUACCUCAUCUUAUUCCUUUUCGGGUCUGUAUGGGUCUUUAUCCCUUUAUAGGGAUUAUCAAACUUUGGUGUUCAACACAGACUUUAUUUCUUCUAGAAAAGUUCCAUCAAGGAACUAUAAUCUCAUCUAGGAGAUAUUCUCUCUACAUAGAAGAGUGUUAAUUCGUCAGGAAUGUAUUAUUCGGUAUGAGAUUUAUAUGUUGCAUAUUUAUAAUUCAAAUAUAUGGAUCCUCCUAGGAUCUCAUGACGGAUCUUCAGAAUCCUAUUAACUGCAUAAUUUAAUUCAUGCCAUUUGCCAGAUAUAUUACAUAGCGGAACAGUGUUUAUUCAACACAUACGUGGGAUGGGUCUCUCACAAGACCACUUGAACCAUCGCAUUCACCACACAUUAUCUCAAUAGUGCCCAUAAAUGUCCAAACUUCAAGCUCGUGACUUUCAUUUUGCGAUUAUUGGUUCAGCCUCGAUUGCAUUUAUCAAUGACUCGAUAAGAGAGCUUAAAGCACUCAUGCCUAGGACUUUGUUUUGGAUCCCUUUGCAAUCUACAGAGGCAAGAUAGGUGUCGACAUAUUUGUCUCCCACAUUUAAUAAUGAUCUCCAUCAUUUCCCAAAACGAAAGAUUCAUUGUUCCGUAUUCCCAGCACAAUGAUAUUGUGCGCAUUGCUAGGAAUUUCAUCAUCAAGAUGAACCUCUUCGUGAGGCAAAUCACCAUCAGGGUGAAUUAAUCAGAGGAGAGUUAUCACAGACCACGUGAAUCUGCAAUCAGAACAUAUGCUUUGACUAAGGCCAAUGGACCAUAUCCGCAGGCGUCCCCGCAGAAUAGAUCAAAUGCCAAUAAGUCAAAUGUGGAUAUGAUAUUAAUCCCGGGUAUAUCCACAUCUACAUCAGGUAGAAGCAUUCAAACCAAUAUGGUUAAUCCUCAACGAUUUCUGGUAAACUCCAUAUACACAGGAGUACACACCGAACGACAGGUUCAGUUUAGCUUAUGUGCGUUUAAUAGAAUAUUGAGGCAUUACACUAUAUGGGCAUUCCUCCCCCUAAUGCCGAGAUGUUCUAAAAGCAUACAGAUAAAAUCCCCAACCACAAUCAUCCAGUUGUGGCCAAUGUAUGCUAUUGUGGUGAUUUAUUUGGGAAAUCUUACGCACAUUACAGAUAGUGGUUUUAUGCAGUGAGCUUUGGACUUAGAUUAAUGUAGUGGCAUGAAUACUACAUAUUUGUCCUUCAACAUGAAUGGUUAGUCUCAACAUCCAGCGAGACACGCAACGGCAAGUUGCUUUAUGGUUACAAUUAUGCAAACUUAUUGUUAUUACUACCAAAUGCAUAGUCAAUCAAUAAGAUUUAGACUAAUAUGCACAACACUAUUUUAUCCAUAAGGAUCCUUCAGGGGCUCAUGCAUAUCAUUUGUCGUUUGGAGCCAGUAGUUGACUUCAGAUCAACAAUUAAAAUGACCAUCAGGGUCUAGCGCUCACAAGGACAUCCACUGGUUGUAUUUUGCUUUGAGGCACAUAGGAAAAAUGUGUCUGUUUAUAUUGGUAGUAAAGUGUACGACAUCAGGCAAAUGCUGCCAAGCAGAGAUUUUUUAUAUGCAGAAAUGUAUAGUCCAACUCGUUUUAUCAUUGCCCAUGGUUUACCCAAUUACUCAUACCAUUCUGAAAUUGGGUAUCGAUUUAUGCAACAUUUCUAGGUAUAAUAAUUUUGAGAGAAAACUUAUAACAACAAUUAAUUAUUUGUGGUGUUGCCAGUAGGGCAAACAUUUCUCCUCAUAUUAUAUACCAAAUUGUUCUAUAAAGCAUUAUUUCGAUCUCUUCAUUGUUCAGAAAAAAAAGAGAAGCUUUGGAAUAGAACAUACAAGGCCAAGAAUUUGUUUUAUCCGGGAAAAACCACCUGAUUGCUAAGCUUUCGAUUAAGCAAAUGGUGAUAACUGCUUGGCAACAGCGAAACAAGACUGUUAUCCGUCUGGGACCAGGCUUCAACAACAGAUAGUAGUGCUCUCAUAAGAAGAAAUCAUCAGGAGUAGAGAGGAUACAAUAGGUCUCCACAAGAUCUUCAUAUUUCUAUCACAAAUUAUCAUCACUAGUAGUCUAGUGGUCAAGACAUAUGGCUCUUCUGGCUCCAAGGACCAAGGACAUAUUAAUGUCUAAUUUAGCUUCAAGCUCAGUGGUGAUGUGGGAUUUCAUAGCUAGUUUCUACUCUUCUUACUCCUAGUAGAUCAGAGAUAGAUUACGGUAAGCAUUUCAAAGGUGGAAUCCAAUGUAGUUCUGCUACAUAAAUUCCAGGUAUAUGUCCAUUCAGGACUGACCUUUACCAUUUGGCUGAAAAAUAUAUCAUACCAAUCAAAGGACUAUACCUAGUCAAUUCAGCGGCUAUAAGUAUUGACAAUUCUGAGAUGUAUGCAACACAAGCAUAGAGGUCCUAGAUAGGACGAGUGCUUACUAAUAAAAUCCCAAUUUGUGAUGUCUUCUAUGCCAAAAAGGCUUUCAUGUAUUAUAUUAUAUAUCUUCGGGUUACUUCGAGUAAAACUUUAUGCAUGAGAAGAGAGGAGAGAAUUUACUUAUCCAUGUUCUGUUGUGUUUCAAUUUAACUUCCCAGAUUUUCAAGCACUAUAGAGCUUGAUAUAGUUGUUAAGGCCACUUGGCAAUAUAUAUAAAUAUUUGAUACCACACAACACAAUCAAAUAAAAAAUAGAGCCAAAUAAAAUUGUUUCCGAAGCUUGCGCUAUGAGGUAACCUCAUGGGCUUAGAAAACCCACCACAUUCUACGCGAGUACAAGCUCCAGCGUAUCUGGUGUCAAUUCGUGUGUGGCCAUCAGGGCUACGACAACACAGCAAACCUUCGUAAUAAGCGCAACAAACACAAUUAUGGCUCGGUAGUCGGGGUACAGGAUAAGUCCACGUAACGUGCGCAACAGGCGCAAUUGUGGCUCGCUGAUCACGACAGACAAAUAGUGCCUGCAGAGCAUGCGAAAAAUACACGACUCGGCGAUGACGGUCCAACUCAACGGGAGCGGUCCGACUAAACGAGAGUGCGACAUAGCACUCACAUGACGCAGCCAAGUUCGUACGACACAAAUAAUGUGUCGAGUUGCCGGGGCGCAGCCAAUGCUCAGCCGGUUAAUAAUGUAGUCUGAUCAACGUGUCUGGGUACCCACGAUAUCAUUUAAUCACUCACGUGAGGCUAAAAGCUCAACGCAACACAAAUAUUUAGAGCGAUAUGAAAAUACGCAACAUAGCCUUCACAUGCAUUUUAAUAAUUUUCUGCUAAUUAUUUACUACGGGAAAUAAAUGCAGAAAUAUAAACACAAAAAUUAAUGCAUGAACAUAACAUAUUAGGUGUAAAAUGUAUUUUCCCAUACACGUAUUUUUCUACUAAUUAUUUGCGAUUGGAAAUAAUUAAUUAAAGUAGAAAAAAUGCUCAAACUGCCAUUUGCAUGAGAUGCUAACCGUUUAUUGGUUGCUGCUAUCUUUUUUUAGCUACACCUAAUAGCAUUUAAUCAGGCGAGGGAAUGAGAUUGCAUGCAGGCUGUCAUGCACAUAAUAACUAAGGAGCAGACUUCCACCUUGGUGCGUCCAAGAGCUAAGCCGCUGGAACCACACGCUCGAAGCCACUUAAUUAGGAUCUCUAACUAACGCAUGCAGUCAAAGAUUGCUUUUCUUUCAGCCACAACGUGUGCAUGCAUGCAGUCAAAGAUCCGGUUUCCUCUCUAUCUCUGUGAUCGCCGCAUAGACCGCAUGCCAGGCCGUUGACUCGGCCUGCGGAUGGCAGCGUUGCAUGUGUGGCAGCCGGGGGAUGAGAUCCCCACCACCAAGUUUUUUUUGACUCAGUAAACGGAUGGCAUUUUUUCAAUAUUUUUCUAUAUUUUAGUGCACAUUUAUAAUGCGGGCAUGGCUCCUGGCGCGCAAUGCGGUCCCGACGCGUGGGCGCAACACCACUACGUCAAUGGCAGUUUGUCGCGCACAAAUCACAAUCCGUAUACAACAAUGGAUCAACCAAUAAACAUACCGCUCGGGCGUAGAGGGAGAAUCGAAGUCUGUCGCGUAGGACAGUUCGGCUAGGCCGGAGACCUGCCGGUUUGUCGGAGAGUUGAUGCAGAUCUGAUCUCGCAGCAACGUCGAGGUAGAGCGUGCUGAUAACGUAUUGAGAACUACGUUACCACGGAUCACCAGAUCCGCUCCCUUCCCUCCCGUCAGCAGUAGAGGCGCAAGAAGAUGUAGAGAACUCGUCUCCCUUCCCAUAAGCACGACAGAGGAAACACACAAGACACUGGAUAUAGGGUUGGGCCUCUGGCCUCUUUCUGAUCUCUAUUCCACAUAAGGGGUACAGGUUCUAUAUAUAGAGACGCGAUAGCCCUCAGGGCUAUAUUCGGUAUUUGCCCACAUAACCCUUCAUUAGGGUUUCUCAACAAGUUUGACAUAUUAGGAGGACAGGGACCCACGCGAGCUUAGUUUGCAUCAGAUUUUGGACUAGGCUUAUGGGCGCAUUCCCCUAAAAUGUUGUAACCCAGAAAAAAAACUUUUAUGAGUAAUGAAAUGAAUGCAGCAUGUUAUUCUCGAUUGGCUUCAGUACUACAUUAUGACAUUUUCUUCUCAUAAUAUAAAGGAUUCUGUUGGAACCAUGAGUCAAGAUAACAAGGGCGAAAAUUUCUGUUUUUCAGAUGGCAUCUAGGCAGCGUCGUGGGCAGAACGAGCAGGUUCCCCCGCCACCUCCUCCAGCUCCCACGGUGCAGGAGCUGAUGGCUCAGCAGAACGAGAUUUUGCGGUAGCUAUUACAGCGCUAGCCCCACCCUCAACAGUGUGGUGGAGGCCAGCCGCAACGUCCUCCGGCCACAGCAACCUAUCAAGAGUUCCUGAGCACGCAGCCACCCCUGUUCACCAAGGCAAAGGACCUGUUAGACGCCGACGUGUGGCUAAGGGUUGUGGAGUCAAAGUUCCCACUCCUCAUGGGAGCUUGCCCUGAUGACACGAAGACUCGCUUCGCCGCACAGCACCUUCGUGGACCUGCUAGGACAUGAUGGGACCAUUUCCGCGCCAUGUUACCUAUUGACCGUGUGGUGACGUGGGAGGAGUUCAAGACGGCUUUCAUGGACAACAUAUUCCAGUAGGGAUUUUGGACCGCAAGCUCAACGAGUUCUUGGCUUUGACUCAGGGGACCCUCACUGUGUUGCAAUAUGCCCAGGCCUUCAACGACCUGUGUCACUAUGCGGGUUAUCAUGCAGAUUCGGAUGAGAAGAAGAGAGACCGUUUCCGCAGAGGCCUUAACACCAAGCUUCGUGAGCACCUCAACACCGUUCGGGCUGACAACUUCAAUGAACUGGUCAACCUUGCCAUAUCACAGGAAGACUGUAUUGUAGCUCACCGGGCAGAGAUGAAGAGGAAGGCGCCAAUGUUAGGACCCUCAGCUCCACCCUAGAGAUUCCGGAUUGUCUCCACAGUCAGAGUAGAGGAUUCCAGCAGCAGGCAAGAAGAUGGGUUAUCAGACCGCCUCAGCAGCAGCAAGCAUCCAACCGUUUCCCUGCUCCCGCUCCAAGGAACAAUCAAUCUCAGCAGCAGCAGCAGUUCCACCAAGGGAAUGGAAACAAGUGCUUCACAUGUGGCAAUGUGAGCCACUAUGCCAAAAAUUGCCCACGAAAUCAGCUAAGGCAGAUGCCGGCACCCAACCAAGACAGAGGAAGGAAGCAGAAAGUGCAAGUCAGGCAAGGGAAGCUCAACUUCACUACUCUGGAGGAGUUACCUGAAGGAGCCCGUCAUGACUGGUACCUUUUAUGUUUUUCAUCAAUCUGCUUUGAUUCUGUUUGACUCUGGUGCAUCGCAUAGCUUCAUUAGCCAGAAGUUCGGUACCAAAUGUCAACUGCCCUUUUGUCAUACCCGAGGGUUUAUCAUGAUUGCAACGCCAGGAGGAAAGGUUGCAACAAAUCAAUUAAAUCAAAUUGUACCUAUCUAGCUAGGGAGCAAAAUCUUCAAAUCUACACUUCUGAUUUUGGGGUUAGAGAACGUAGAUAUCAUUUUGGGAGCUAACUGGAUGACUCAACACUGGGUGGUGUUAGAUGUAGCUGCCAGAACUCUAGAAAUUUGUUCUCCUACCUUCGGAAACUUCACGUUAUAUCUGCCCAGCCAAGAGACCACUCAGUCAUGUGCUUUCUCCAUGAUAGAACUACCCUUGAAGAAAAUUCCAGUGGUCUGUGAGUAUGCAGAUGUUUUUCCUUAUGAGUUGCCAGGAAUGCCACCAAAUCGGGAUAUCGAAUUUGCCAUCGAAUUGCAACCGGGAACGACACCUAUUUCCAUCAGGCCCUACCGGAUGCCACCCGCUGAGUUGGCAGAAUUGAAGAAACAGCUGCAAGAAUUGUUGGACAAGGGUUUCAUCCGCCCAAGUACUUUGCAUUGGGGAUGUCCAGCUUUAUUCGUGAAGAAGAAGGACGAAAGCCUAAGAUUGUGUAUAGAUUACCGCCCACUCAAUGCGGUGACUAUCAAAAACAAGUAUCCUUUGCCUCGUAUUGAUGUUCUUUUCGAUCAGUUGGUCGGAGCUAGAGUGUUUUCCAAAAUAGAUCUUCGCUCCGACUAUCAUCAGAUCAAGAUAUGAGCAAGUGAUAUUCCCAAAACUGCCUUCUCAACCAGAUACGGGCUGUAUGAAUAUCUGGUGAUGUCGUUUGGGUUGACAAAUGCACCCGCAUACUUCAUGUAUCUGAUGAAUUCAGUCUUCAUGCCUGAACUAGACAAAUUUGUGGUGGUUUUCAUCGAUGAUAUCUUGGUGUACUCAAAGAACGAAGAAGGGCAUGUCGAUCAUUGCAUGUAGUGCUCUAACGUCUAAGAGAACACCGCCUUUAUGCCAAAUUGUCAAAACGUGAUUUCUGGCUAAAGGAGAUUAAAUUCUUGGGUCACACUAUCUCUCAAGAUGGCAUAGCUAUUGAUCCGGAUAAGGUGCAAGAGGUGAUGAAUUGGAAGCCACCCACGAUUGUUUGUCAGAUUCGGAGUUUUCUGGGAUUGGCUGGGUAUUAUCGUCGGUUUAUUCCAGAUUUCUCUCGAAUUGCGAAGCCCAUGACAGAACUAUUGAAGAAAGGAGCAAAAUUCGAGUGGAGUAAGAAAUGUGAAGAUGCCUUCCACACCUUGAGGCAACAUCUGACCACAACACCUGUGUUAGCGCAGCCUGACAACAACAAGUCGUUUGAUGUGUAUUGUGAUGCCUCUGGCACCGGAUUGGGUUGUGUUUUGAUGCAAGACAACCGAGUCAUUGCCUACGCAUCAAGAGCACUCAGGCCUCAUGAGCAAAAUUACCCUACUCAUGACUUGGAGUUAGCAGUCGUGGUUCAGGCAUUGAAAAUGUGGAGGCACUACUUGAUGGGAACCCACUGCAAUAUUUAUACAGAUCACAAGAGCCUCAAGUACAUCUUUACUCAGGCUGAUCUCAACAUGAGGCAGAGAAGAUGGCUAGAGUUGAUCAAGGACUAGGACUUGGAAGUGCACUACCACCCGGGGAAAGCCAAUGUGGUAGCAGAUGCCCUAAGCCGAAAGUCUCAAUGCAACUGUAUGGUGAUGGAUUCUCGCAUCAAUACCCUAUGUGACGAGUUGAGCAAGAUGUGGAUCAAAGUGAUUCCUUCUGGUACCUUGUCUCACAUCUCCGUCGAGCCAACCUUGCUGGACCAGAUUGUUAUGGUCCAACUCAGUGACAGGGGAGUGCAAAUCAUCAAAGAGAAUCUUAAUCAGAAAGUGGAGAAGUAUAAGUGCUUUCUCCAAGACAGCAAGGGGAUACUAUGGUUUGAAGACAGAUUGGUGGUUCCUAAAAACAGAGACCUCAAGAAGAGAAUCUUGGAUGAGGCUCAUCUCUCCAAAUUCUCCAUGCACCCAGGAAGCACCAAGAUGUGCUAUGAUCUGAAACACCUAUAUUGGUGGACCAAAAUGAAGAGGGAGAUAGCCCAGUAUGUAUCGGAAUGUGACACCUGUCAGAGGAUAAAGGCAAGCCACUUAAAAUCAGUUGGUGCCUUGCAACCCCUAUCGAUACCUUUAUGGAAAUGGGAUGACAUCAGCAUGGAUUUCAUUGUGGGUCUACCCAACACCUCUCGACAUCAUGAUUCAAUCUGGGUCAUUGUGGACCGAUUGACAAAAGUGGCACAUUUUCUUCCAGUGCACACCACCGAUAAGGCUCAUAAGUAUGCAGAGUUGUACAUUGACCAAAUUGGUUGUUUGCACGGUUUACCUCAGACAAUUGUCUCUAACCGAGGAGCCCAAUUCAUAGCCAGAUUUUGGGGAGCAAUUGCAAGAGUCCUUAGGGACCAAGCUAAUAAGGAGUUCAGCUUACCACCCCUAGACUGAUGGCCAGACCAAAAGGGUAAAUCAAGUUCUUGAAGAUAUGCUGAGGGUUUGUGCUAUCAGUUACGGAAAGAACUGGGAUAAGUACCUCUCUUUGGCAGAGUUUGCUUAUAACAACAGUUAUCAAUCCAGCCUGAAGAUGGCACCUUUUGAAGAUUUAUAUGGAAGAAGGUGUCGGACACCCCUCAACUGGUCACAACCCGGCAAAAGAGAAAUUUUUGGGCCUGACCUAGUGACAGAAGCCGAAAGAAAGGUCAAGCUGAUCGGGAAGAACCUAGAAGCUGCUCAGACCAGGCAAAAGAGUUACCAUGACAAGAGAAGGAAACCCCUCCAGUUUGAAGUGGGAGAUUUUGUAUAUCUGAAAGUAUUGCCCACAAAAGGAGUGCAAAAGUUUGGGAUCAAAGGCAAGUUAGCCCCUCGCUACAUUGGACCUUAUGAGAUCAUAAAAGCAUGUGGACCCGUGGCAUACAAAAUGAAGCUACCUCCAAAGCUGUCUGCCAUCCACAAUGUAUUCCAUGUAUCCCAAUUGAAGAAAUGUGUUCGAUUACCAACCGAGGUCAUAGCAGAAGCAGACGUGGAGAUAGAGCCAGAUCUAUCAUAUCAAGAGUACCCCUCCAAGGUUCUGGAUUGCAAGGAAAGAUCAACUUGUGCGAGGUCAAUCAAAAUGUAUAAGAUCAAGUGGAGUAACCAUUCAGAGGAAGAAGCUACCUGGGAGACUAAGGAAUAUCUGCGUUCAAACUAUCGGGAUUGUCUACCUAAGGAAAUCGGUACAUAACCAUAACCCAGCCCCCUGCCCUUUGAAUCUAAAUAUAAGAAGAUGAUCUUAACAUAAACCGAGUUAGGUUAUAAAACUAAAUCAAAAAGGACUUCCUUCUAAAGUUGCAAAGAGGAUGACAUUCGAAGAGCAGGUUUCUAAAGGACCUUAGUAACAAACCCACACCAUGAAAACAAGCCAUAACCUUUUCCUCACCCCUGAGGAUCCCGACUCGAAUCUCAGGACGAGAUUCCUUUAAGGGGGAAGGCUGUAACACCCCAGUGUUACUCAUAGAAUUGUCUACAAUUCCUUUAUAAACAUCUCAGGUUAAUUCAAUACCUUUCAAAGUCAAAAGACAUGAGAAAGGCUCUGCUGUCCAGAUUUGGACAGAUCAAGAGAUCACACUUCAAACAACUGUAAUUUAACUUAUAGAUCACCAAAAAGGGUGAUCCAAAAUUUUUUGGAAAGCUUAAGAAAAGUACCACAAUUCUCCUAUAAUUACUAAGAGCUGAUUCUCAGUUUAACUUGGGCAAACAAGGUUAUUUUCGAAAUAUGUACAGAAUUUGGACAGAUUCUGAGUCUAGGCUUGAGAAAAUCAUAACUCCCAAACUACUAGUUUUAUGGCCAUGAUAUGUUUACACCAACAAGAUAACGAAGUUAGCUACAAGUUUUAUGUAUAACACUUUCACAGAAAACGUGAUUUACUUCACUCAAUUAUUACCACAACAGAGAGAAUAUGUGCAACAAAAUUUAGCUCAGGGACUAUCAGAUUCCCUAGGCAAACAUCACCACAAAGCACCUAUGCUAAUCGCAAAAGAAUCAUCGACCAUCUAACUAUUUAGCCCACCAUUCAAGCUGACAAUUAUAGAUAGCGAAGGAACUCAUCCAAAAUUAAAUUCAACUAGGAGACUAUAAGCACAACGUCGAGCUACAAUUUAGCCCAUACGUCGAGCACCUAAUGAACGACACCUCGGGACUUCGCUUUCAUAUUCAACCAAACCUCCAAGGAUUACUAUCCUCAAAAGCACACAAUAACAUACACACAAUUAGCAUCUAAUUAAUUUAUGUCGGUUACAGGUACUGGUGAUGAAUAACAUAAGGAGAACAACUAUUCCUUACCGGGGUAAACGACGACGUGACCGGAACUGCAUAGAUCGAGAUGGAGCUCGCUGCGGUAUUUCAUCGAACACAUCGAGGGCGCGACACGAAGGAGUGUCGUGCUGCUGCUGCUCCAUGGCCUAGGGCGAGAGCAAGCACCAGGGAAAAUGACAUCGGCAAGGUUGAGGACGGGCAGCCCAGUUCGGCGUCGGACAGAGGCGAACUGAGCAGCGGCGCUUGCUGUCAAGUUAAGACGACGGCGAUGACACAAGUCCGGAACAGUGGUGAACGACGGCGCAAGACGAGCAGGGAGACGACGAUCUGCACUACGACAGGAAAGACGCAGCAGUCCCCAACGGCGUGGGGAGGACCAGCUGGUGGCGCUGUUGCUACUCGUUGGGUGGACGUCAGGGGGCCGAGCACAACAUCUAGAGCGGCGGCGCGGUGGUGCCUAGGAGCUGAGCAGAUCCAUGAACGGAGUUGGGAGACAUGGCCAGCUUCAACGAACGGUGCUGGGAGUAGGGAGGCCGGGACGGGAUGGCCGUGCGCCAUGGCCGAGAUUUGGGCGAGCUAGCAGGGGCAGCCGACGUAUGGAAACUAGGAGGCCAGCAACGUUUGUCCUUGAAGCUAACGAUAGCAGGGAAUUUCUAGAAAUUGAACGUGAUGCUUGAGAAAGGAGGUGGCGUGGAGUUAGAAGAUAGAGAUGGCUAGGGAAUUCUCCAGGAGAUGACGUGGGAGGAUAAUAGAGAUAGGGAUGGUGAAGAGAUAUUCCGUGAACAUGCUGCUCCAUAAAAGACAAGCAAUAAGUAGGGGUGGAAACGGAUCGAAUACGCACGGAUACGAAUUCGAAUGUUACAAUUUACCAUAUUUUAGUCCGAAUUCGGAUACGAAUUCGAAUAUCUUCGGAUACGAAUACAAAACGGAUAGUCGAAUAUGAAUUCUUAUUCGAAUAUUUACUCAAUUCAACUCAAAUAGCAUACUCUAAAAUUUAACAUAUGUAUAUGUGAAUUUUUAUUUAAGUACAAGUUUAUAGAUAGUCAAAACAAACUUAAAAAAUAGAUUUCUCAUGAUACUCUAUAUCUAAGUCAAUAAAACUAUAUAAAUAAUAUUUUUAAACUAUUGAAUCGUGUAACAAAAGGUAAACAACAACACGUGAUAUUUAGUAAGUGACAUUUGUACAAAUACAAUUAAACUAAAAUUGAUAUAAAAUAGUAAAUGUACCAACAAAAACAACUUUUUCGUUCUAAAAUGAAUGAAUGUCUUAUAUAAAUGUGUUAACAAAACUUUAAUGAAAACAUGAAGAAAUUUAUAUCUUUAUUAUAAAGUGGAGAGUUAUAGUUGAAUGUUUAUGGAACUUCGUUGAGAUGUGUUCACUAUAUAGAUAAAGUGAAGAGUUAUAAUUAAAUGUUUAUGAAACCUAUUAAAUUUUAUUAUUGAAUAUCACUAUAAAUAUAUGAUAUAUUUAUUUAUCAUAUAAAUAUUUUUUUAAUAUUUUAAAUGAUAUGUAUCAUUUUUAGUAUAUUAUUAAACUUAAAAAACAUUUUUAAUUAGUAAUUAGUGAUACAGUUAAGUUUUAAAUGGUUUCAUGGAACAUUUGUUUUUCACGAAUACGGAUAGCAUCGAAUGUUUCAUGGUUUUUUCGAAUACGAAUAUGGAAUCGGAUAGAGAAAAGUACUAUAAAUCGAAUUCGAAUAUAUCCAUUUAACAUCUAUAUUGAAAUCGAAUACGGAUACGGAUAUCCAUAUUAGCAGUUCUAGCGAAUACGAAUACGAAUAAUUCGGAUUUCCAAACAUCCAUUUCCAGCCCUAGCAAUAAGGAUAGCUGAUAGAAGAAACUAGUACACGGAAGGGAUAAAAUUGUGAUAAAAUUUAAUAAAAGAUAUUUUCUGCAUUUAGUUAACGUAGACAGGGAGACAAAUCUAAUUUUUAAGGUUUAAAAGAGGCAAAGAUGUGUUGGAUGAAAACAAUAUCAGGUAUAUAAUUUAGACCGAAUUCGAUUUGGUGAACAAUCGCAGGACCAGAUAAAUUUCUACCAGUUAUUAAUAUCCAAUCAUUUGGAUUUGUUCAGGCAGGAUAUAAACAGAUCGAAAUAAAACGACAUUUGGGUUAUGCAUAUUAUUUUCUUGACUUUGAAAUAGUAAACCGAAUCGGCUAACAAUUAUUACGGAUUCGGUUAGUUCGGGUUCAGUUUAUUUAAACAGCCUGCCCCUAGUAGUGUCUCUACCGAAUUUGUAGAGAUUGCUCGAACAAGAGCGAAAUAAUUAGGGGACGUUUCUAAUUUGCCUUAAUCGAUGAAUUUUAAAUUUGCAUUCGUUUUAGUUAAAUUUAGACGAAUUUUCACCGCCAUCCGAACAUUCGACUAAUAUCUCUACGCCUUAUAUUUCUUGGACAUGAACGCGGUCGAAAUUAUAAACUCGAACUAAUUCCGAAAUUGCACUCACGCUCUCGACCAAUCUAAACAGCACCGGACUCGACAUUUUUGAAGGUUACUAAAGUCCAAACUUCGUGAAAUAUUUUGGAGAGUCCCGAUAGACAUAGAUGAAAAAUACUGAUAUGCGAAUAUGAUUAGGAUAUAGAGACUGUUAUUCUUAUUGGUAUCCCGUAAUUACGUUCAUAUUCGCUGUCGAGCGAGAGGUAAACAUCUGGGGUGUUACAACCCUCCCCCUUAAAAGAAUCUCGUCCCGAGAUUCGGAGCGAAAGACUUUUAAGCGUAGAGAAGCAUGUAACUCCGGUCCAUAUCAGCGAUAAUGUAAGGCAGUUCAAAGCAAAGGCGAGUAUCUCAGGAUGUGGUUGCUCUAGUGGAUAUAGCAUGUAUCGCCGUAAGCUAAUUUAGAGAUGUCCAUCAGUAGAGGCGAUGUCUGCCAGAAGAACACAUAAGGUUCCAUGUAUACAGUUUGCUUUUUCUGAUGACACUGUACUAUCUGAGUCUAUUGUGCGAGCGGUAGAUAUGCGACUUUACCCAAACAGAAAUAGAUGCAACCUCUUGGGUAAACCAUAUCGAAAGGAAUUUGCCGAUAAAUCGUCAUUGGAAGUCCAUAGCACACGAGAGUACGAGAUAGGUGUAGAUGUCGAACAACACCACAGUUGACCCGUGGCUAGCCAAAAAAAUCCAAGUCCAAUGAUGAUAAUGGAGACUCGAGGAAACAUUAAUGAAGGUUAUCGACAAAUGUUGACUUCACAAUGAACUAACCUAAUCAUGCACUAGUGCGACUCUGCCUAAUCAUACAUGUUGAAUAGUCACAUGGGAGGCGAUCGAGGCGCGACUAGAGUGAUGACUAGGUGGUUACCAGUCGACUUGACUUAUUAUUUUUUAAGCGCUCUUUCAAUGUAGAUUGAACUAAAAAGGGAGUUUAGACAAUCGAAGAGUUCUGAUUUUUUUAAAGGAGACUUCUGAAUUGAUAAAAACUUCACUUAAGGAAUACAUCAGAGUUAUAUACUCUUUUGAUCCAACAGUGAUGGCAUAGGUUGUUUGAUUGUUUCAGCAAACAACACAAAAAUUGUUUCAAGGGAGGAGUCCACGGAAGAUCACACAUCAGUGUAAUUCCAUAAUGGAUCAUGACCAAAGACCUCGAUACCAGCAUCUGACGAGUAGCACAACCUUGCGUGUACAUUCAAAAGGGGAUCUCAGUUUCGCUGUGGCACCAUAAGUCAUUAACCAUGACACCAUUACCGAACAAUACCAAUAAUGAAUCUCACAUGGUAGAACAAUUUGUGCAGAGAUAACAUAUCGAUAUAGUCUCAGAAUAGAUUAUAACUACUAACCAUGAUACCAGCGCGUGCCAUGUAGCGCAUCCAUGUGUGUACAUUCACAGGAGGCCCUUGGUUUUGUCACGACACCAUCGGUUUUAGUCAUAACACCAUUACAAGACAUAAACAAUAGGAAAUCUCGCGCCACACCAAUAGAUUGAGCAAGGGUGACAAUAUACAAAGAGAUACUCCACCUGUAAGAAUGGUUACAAGUAGAGAGCCAAAUAGAUCAUGGCCCGAUGAAAUGAACAAGACAUGGCUAUAACCUAAACUUAAUGAAAGGAGUACGAUGGGAGAUUGUUAUUUUAGCCCAAGAAUAUUUCUAUGCCCAUUGCAGAGAUUACAAGGUCAAGGAUUAGUAUCCGAUUAGAUACGGAGGCAAAACAAUCAUAAUAUUAAGUUGGUAUGCCUUCGAUAGGAAACCAAAGGCAUUAAGUUCAAGAAACUAUUGGGCAUUCCUUUCCUAGGUUGGGUUGAUAAAGCGACAAUACAAUCCUCCAGGAGAGGCGAAGUAGAAUAGAGACAUCAACUUGCACCAACCGAAUAAGGACAUGGUUUUGGAAGGAGAUAUACUUUGAGAUUUUUGUUUUAAGCCCGGAUACACUUUAUGUCCAACAAAGAAAUUAUCUAAGCAUUUAUUUGUAUGACUUUGGUCAUGGAGGAAUAACGGAAAAAUCAACUUUGGGUCAUGGUUCACCAACUAAGAACAUGGCCUAGUUUUUGGGUUUAGGCAAACAUGUCACAAACAUUCUAUCGGCACAUUAAGCACAAGAGCAAACACGUAUAACACCUAAACAGAUUACCUAAAGAACGAAGGACAACUAUUUCAUUGAAGUUCAUAGUACAACAUUACACCACAUUAUCUACAAUCACUAGCUACUAGAAUAAAGAUGAGAGAAGCAUUUUCGCGCACAUGUAACAAACACGAUGCAACAAUCAAGACGCAUGCUCGUCCUAUGCGUCCUCACAAGUUUUGCCAAUCUAAUGUGGCAUUAGCGUUCUAUAUCGGUGGCAUACUUACGACUCUCUCGGUAUAUUGCUAGUCGUGAGCUACACAUACGAUUUCGAUGUUAGUGUACAUGCAGAAAAUUCCAUCAUAUCCCAGUUCCCAAUGAUGCAAUUCACACAUUACAGUUUAUCACAGUUUAUAUUCCAUAUAUUUCUAUAUGGAGGCCAGCUCCUCAUUAAGCACCGAGCCACGUAUAGGCGCCGCUGCCACACUUUAACCAUAGGACAACCCAUUAUGGUAACUCACCUUCUUACCUGAGCGUAGGUGCGUCGUUACAAGUACAUUACACUUCUCAGUAUUCCCAUGUCUGUAUAACCAUACACAUCCAUGGGGUACUGAAUCCUAGAAAAGUAAAUACUCCACAUCGCAGCUUUCAUAUAUACAUAUGUGUAACAUGUAUAUAAUCAAGCGCUUUUUAUACUCUCCCCUAGACUGACGUUUGUUCAGUCAUGCUCUCACAUCUCACCUUACCUUGAGCGUCGAUCCAUUCAAAACUGAAUGGCCUCAAAAACAACAUUACACAUGUAUGCAUUAUCCCCCCGGUUGUGGGUUAGUGUUUUAAUCUAAGCCACCUGAUAGUCCUUAAUUGAGGGCUUAAUAGAGGAUGUCGCUAGCAUUGUAGUUUUCAAAUCUGUAGUUUUUCAAAACCAGACAAUGUGUUUAGUUGAAAAUAGGUUUUCCAAAACCAAAAUUUCGUUUUAAAAAUUCAUAUGUGACUGUAUUAGACUUAAUCUCGCUCUGAUACCAGCUGUGGCAAAACCUCCAAAGUUAUUGGGCCCACAUGCACCUGCCCUUGUCUCAAAGGCCUCAUAUGGCUAUGCAUGUGCACCUGAUAACUUAACAGGAUCCGUCCGAGUGUCCCAAGGACCCCGGAUAAACCACUUACAACAAGAUCGCAAGAUUAAGUAAACACAAAUCACACACCAACAUUUUGUAGCAGAAUUUCUUUAUUACAAAAAGUUACAAGUUACAACAAAUUUACAUUAUAUUUAUCGGAGUGAUUACAAAAGUGAUUCAAAGAAAUAAACUUUGAAAUGUUAUAAAUUAUUUAUAAGUUUGAAAUAUAUGCUAGCUCAGUGACAAUCCUCAAUAAGAAGUAUAGAAGAGCUAUUUUAACCUGCUGUCGAUCAUAGACCUACAUGUGGAGGAGCCACCGGUGCAGGUGGGGCAUGUGCCUUCGUCCCCGCACACGGUGGUCUACCCUGUUUCGAUCCUAGUGUCUCACCCUCACCGAUCGUCGAUGGAGCCCCCUCUCCCACCUUCUCCGUCGUAUCCGAGCAGCCGCGACGAUGGCCGGGAUCGCGACACUGGUUCCAAGCAGAAGCGUCGUUUCGGCUCCCAGCCCCAGUCGUCUUCGGUUCACGCUUCGGUUCUCUCGCGCCUGGGCCGCGAGUCCAUUCAAAUUCGGAUUUUGGCGGGCCAGUCAAUGCCCUAGCCCUCCCUGUCUCUCCUGUCGAUGGACUGGCGGCGCCUGUACCUGCAAUCUCCUCCUGGGAGGCGGAUGAUGCUUCGUUUCUGAGGCCUAUCGGACCAGUUGAGGCGUCAGCUCCCCCAACCUUUUCGGUCUCUAAGCUAGCAGCGCCUGUGUCUACCAAGGUCUUAAUUGCUCCGGACGCUUCCUCUCCCGCCUCUUCGAGUCCCGCCUCUCCAGCUGCUUGGGAUAUUAACUCUCUCCAGCUUGUCGUUGCCCCUAGAAAUCGGUGUCAGGGCGGCUCUGCCUCUCCCCAUAUCCCUGGAGAUCUUUUGACUGCAAAGGCAACCCCUCCUGUGGUUAACCAGAAUGCGACGCCCUUGGACCAGGACGUUCUCCACAACGCGACACCCUUGAACCUCCAUUCAAGUAACCUGGGGUUGGUUCCUUCUAGAACCCUGUGGUGUAUGCCCCCGAAAGUAUAUUCCAAAAGAUGCCGGGUUUUACAGCAGCACCCUCAAGUUUUGUUGGUCGACUCUCAAAUAGUUUUGAGCUCUGGAAACGUUUAUGUGGAUGACUCCAUUUCGCCUUCGGAUUCGCCCAUCUCAGAUCAGCUCAGAUCUUCCUUCAGAUGCAGGGUUACCAAGUCUAUAGUGCAUAUCUUGCCAGCUCCUUAGGCUGGUAGACCAGGGGCUGCAAACUCCUCUGCUGUUCCUCCACGUCGCAGCCGGUGUAUUGCCGAAAUUGGCGUCGAGAACCUAGCCGCUUCCAGCGAUGGUCAGACAAGAUUUAGGAAGACGGUGUUGAGGGUCCUUCACGUGAUUGACGAGAACGAAGGCAUUGAUCAGGAUGCUUUGGAUUGUUACAGUAAAUUGUUUGACAAGCCUCUCUCCCCUUCCCAUAUUCAGGCGCUUGCAGCCCUUUUUGGCUGGUCUGCCCCUGGGGUGGGAGAGUGCUGAUCAUGUUCCCAGAUGUUAUUUGUUUGGUCGUUAUUAUCUGUGGUUUUUCAUUAUGAAUCCUUCAAAAAUUGUUUGCUGGAAUGUGAGAGGCUUAAAUUCUAAGACUCGGCAGGAUGUUGUUCGCAACUUGAUUAAUUAUUUCAGAGCUAAUGUGGUUUGUAUUCAAGAAACAAAAAUGGUUGAGAUUUCCGUACAGACUGUCUUGUCAUCUCUGGGAAGUAAUUUUGUGCACAGAUUGGUCCUUCCUUCGGUAGGGUCUAGUGGUGGAAUUCUGGUGGCCUGGACCAAUGAGAUUGGACCAGCCAGCUCAUCAAGGGUGGAUCAUCAUAGUGUGACGGUUCAGUUCAGCCCUAGAGAUCAACAACCUUGGUGGUUAACUUGUGUGUAUGGUCCUCAGGGAGAUAGCAAUAAACAUCAGUUUAUGCAGAAGCUAAGAGGUUUAAGUUCUGUCUGUCUUGGUCCGUGGAUUCUUAUGGGGGAUUUCAACCUUAUAUACAGAGACGAAGAUAAGAGCACUGGCAAUUUUAAUAGGCAGCUUAUGCACAGUUUCAGAAGGCUCAUCAAUGACCUCGGCAUAAAAGAAUUAGCUCUUCACGGGAGGAAAUUCACCUGGUCUAACCACCAAGACACACCCACUCUAGUUAAACUUGACAGAAUGUUCUGUUCUCCAGAAUGGGAGCAACUUUUUCCCAACUGUCUUCUUCAAAGUGCUAGCACUGAUGGAUCUGAUCACUGUCCUUUGCUUUUGGGCCUCCAUGACUUGAAACCUAGUCGUCAUCGGUUCCACUUUGAACCCCACUGGACUAAGCUUCUUGGUUUUCUUGAGGCAGUAGAGAUCGCUUGGAACUCGGUUUCUCCCUCCUCUGACCCUUUUGUUACCCUUUCUAGAAGGUUUGGAGCCACUGUCAGACACCUUCAAAGAUGGUCUCAUAAAAGGGUAGGGAAUAUUAUAGCUCAACUUGUGAUGGCGCGUGAAAUUUUGCAUAAAUUCCAGAUUGCCCAGGAUAAAAGGCCAUUAUCGGUGUUAGAAAAGUGGCUGCUGGACCAGCUUGAUAGUCACACCGUGGCUCUUUCUUCCUUGCAGCGCUCUAUGGCUCGGAGUCGCUCUAGGAUCACCUGGAUGGCAGAGGGGGAUGCUAACACUGCUUUCUUCCACCUGCAUGCUAAGUAUCGCAAAGGCAAGAAUUUUAUGGGUAAUAUAUUAUCCUCUGAUGGUCUCAUUUUGUCCAGACACGAGGAUAAGGAGGUGUUGCUUAAUGAUUUCUACUUCAAUCUGCUGGGUCGUUCAACUGACAGAGAGCACUCUAUAAAUCUGGAACACCUGCACAUCCCUUCUCAUGACCUUUCAAUGCUGGACAGUCCCUUUACUGAGGAGGAAAUCUGGAAAACCAUCUUAUCCAUGUCGUCCAAUAAGGCUCCUGGCCCUGAUUGGUUUAUAGGAAAAUUUUAUAAAUCAUGUUGGCAGAUUAUAAAGGAGGAUAUUUUGGCUGCUGCUAUGGCAGUCUGGAGUAGGAGGCUGCUGAAUUUUGACCUGCUCAAUUCAGCCUAUAUUAUUCUUCUGCCCAAAAAGAAGGAUGCCUCGCUCGUAAAGGAUUUUUGGCCCAUCAGCUUGGUUCAUUCCUUUGCUAAGCUCAUCACCAAGCUUUUGGCUAACAGGUUGGCUGGUCAUCUUGAUAAGUUGGUGUCGCAUAAUCAAAGUGCCUUUAUUAAAGGUAGAUCCAUCCUUGACAACUUCAUGCUAGUUCAACAGACAGCUAAUCUAUUCCACCAGAAAAGACUUCCUCGAAUACUUCUUAAGUUGGAUAUCACAAAAGCCUUUGAUUCUGUCUUGUGGUCUUUCCUGUUAGAAGUGAUGAAGCAUUUGGGUUUCGGGCAAAUUUGGUGUGAUAUUGUGAGUAAUCUACUUGCUUCUGCAUCAACUCAAGUGAUGCUUAAUGGUGAACCAGGUCAGAAAAUUCACCACAGAAGGGGCCUUCGGCAGGGGGACCCUCUCUCCCCCAUGCUGUUUAUUCUGGUUAUGGAUGUUUUAUUCUACUUGUUAAAGAAGGCAGUUGAUGACGGUCUGCUGAAACCUUUAUCUGCAAACUCAGAGCUCAGCCGCACUUCUCUUUACCCCGAUGAUGUGGUGAUCUUCCUGCACCCGGUGGCUCUGGAUCUCGAGGUCACUAUGGAUAUCCUAAAGAUUUUUGGUGAGGCAUCAGGGCUAAGAACAAGUAUGGAAAAAGCAGUGUAUUUCCCAUUCACUGUUCGGAGGAAAAUGUUUCUACCAUCCAUAAUCUCCUUCCAUGUCUUGUUGCCAAUUUUCCUUGCAAAUACUUGGGGGUGCCUCUUUUGAUGAAGCGACUUGGUAAACAUCACAUUCAGCCGUUCAUUGAUAAGAUUGCAGAUCGCUUGCCUAGUUGGAAAGCUGACCUGCUAUCCAGAGCUGGAAGGCUGAUUCUUGUUCAGUCAGUUCUAUCUUCGAUGAUGGUUUAUUUAGCUAUGGCAUUGGACCUUCCUUCUUGGGCUUUAAAGGUUAUAGACAAAAUUCGGAGAAAUUUCCUUCGGCGAGGAAGAAAAGAAGCUAUGGGUGGCCACUGUUUGGUGGCCUGGAACAAAGUUACUAGACCUAAAGAGCUUGGAGGCUUGGGCAUCUCUCACCUGCAGCAUAUGUGUUGGGCCCUCAGACUGCAUUGGCUUUGGUUAAAAAAACUGACCCUGACCGGCCCUGGACAGCCUUCAAUAUUCAUGUGCACCCUUCUGUUCUUGCCUUCUUUUUCUGCGGCAGUUUCUUCUGUAGUGGGCAAUGGCAGGAAUACUCUGUUUUGGACAGAUAAAUGGUUAAAUGGUCAAAGCCUGCAUCAGUUGGCACCUCAUCUUGUCAGGUUGGUAUCUUGAAGGGCUAAGAAAAGGAGUGUUCAGGAUGCCCUCACCACUGGAAGCUGGGUACACGACAUAAGAGGGGCUAUUACUGUUAAUGUGUUGACUGAUUUUUUUAAUGUCUGGGACCUUGCUGCCAGCUGGAUUUUGCACCCGGAACAGGAGGAUAAGCAAAUAUGGCUGCUCUCUAGCUCAGGAAAUUAUACCGCCAAGUCGGCUUAUGAUGGUUUCUUUAUUGGCUCAACAACCUUUAGGUCAUGGAGGAGGAUUUGGAAAUUUGGGCUCCUGGAAAAUGUAAAUUCUUCAUGUGGCUUGUGGCGCACGGGCUUUGCUGGACCGCUGACCGGCUGGCAAGGAAAGGCCUGCCUCACUCUCAAAGCUGUCUCUUAUGUGACCAGAAGGAAGAAAUUAUGAAUCAUCUGCUAGUUUCCUGUGUAUUCUCAAGGGUAGUCUGGUUUAAUAUCCUAAAAUCGGUCGGUUUGCAGCACCUCACUCCUAGUCUCAAUUCUACUUCCUUUGAUGAUUGGUGGGAGGAAGUUAGCAUGACCCUUAUUAGCCCUUCCAAUAAGAAGCUGCGCAAGGGGCUGAACUCCAUUAUCAUAUUAGGAGCUUGGGCCAUUUGGAUUCAUUGCAAUCGAUGUGUCUUCAACGGAGAGCAGCCUAGGGCUAGCAAGGUCAUCAAUUGGGUCAUGGAUGAGUCUCAUCUUUGGUGUAGGGCUGGGGCUCGCGGAUUAUCUGAUAUCCUUUUACCUCAGCAUACUAAUCAGGGAUUUGGUCUCUAGUAUGCUUAGUGUAAGGCCCAGUCGUUCCUUGUUCUAGUGCUCCUGCUCAUUUUCCUUUUUUGUGUGGUGUGUAGUGUUGUAUUAGGUUCUUUAACACCUCACCCCACCUUUUUCUACUUAAUAUAAUGAUACGCAGCUCUCCUGCGUAUUCGAGAAAAAAAAGAAGGUUGUGCCCACUAUCGGGGACCAUAAUUAGGGGUACCCUCAAGACUCCUAAUUCUCAGCUGGUAACCCCCAUCAGCAUAAAGCUGCAAAGGCCUGAUGGGUGCGAUUAAGUCAGGGAUCAGUCCAUUCGAGCGACUCGAUCAUGCCUCGCCCGAGCCUAGCCUCGGACAAGGGCAGCCGACCCCGGAGGAUUUCCGUCUCGCCCGAGGCCCCCCUCCAACGGCGGACACAUCUCCGGCUCGCCCGAGGCCCUGCCUUCGCUAAGAAGCAACCCUGACUAAAUCGCCGCACCGACCGACCGAAUCGCAGGAGCAUUUAACGCAAAGGUGGCCUGACACCUUUAUCCUGACGCACGCCCCCCGAUAGAGCCGAAGUGACCGCCGUCACUUCACCGCUCCACUGACCGGCCUGACAGAAGGACAGCGCCGCCUGCGCCACUCCGACUGCAGUGCCACUUGACAGAGUGAGACUGACAGGCAGUCAGGUCCUGCCAAAGGCACCAUAGGAAGCUCCGCUCCGCCCGACCCAGGGCUCGGACUCGGGCUAAGUCCCGGAAGACAGCGAACUCCGCUCCGCCCGACCCCAGGGCUCGGACUCGGGCUAAGUCCCGGAAGACGGCGAACUUCGCUCCGCCCGACCUAGGGCUCGGACUCGGGCUAAGUCCCGGAAGACGGCGAACUCCGCUCCGCCCGACCCAGGGCUCGGACUCGGGCUAGGUCCCGGAAGACGGCGAACUCCGCUCCGCCCGACCCAGGGCUCGGACUCGGGCUAAGUCCCGGAAGACGGCGAACUCCGCUCUGCCCGUCCCAGGGCUCGGACUCGGGCUAAGUCCCGGAAGACGGCGAACUCCGCUCCGCCCGACCCCAGGGCUCGGACUCGGGCUCAGCCCCAGAAGACGACGAACUCCGCUUCGCCCGACCCCAGGGCUCGGACUCCGCCCUGGCCUCUGCCGAACGACCUCCGCCUCGCCCGACCCAGAGGCUCGGGCUCGGCCUCGGCCAUGGAAGACAGACUCGACCUCGGCUUCGGAGGAGCCUCCACGUCGCCCAACCUAGGGCGCAGGCCAGCCACGUCAACAGGAAGCGCCAUCAUCACCCUACCCCGAGCUGACUCGGGCCGCAGAGAACAAGACCGGUGUCCCAUCUAGCUAGCUCCGCCAGAUAGGCAAUGAUGGCGCCCCGCACGCUCUGUGACGACGGCGACUCUCAGCUCUCUUACGGGAGCAGGAGGACAUCAGCAAGGACCCGACCGCUCCGACAGCUGUCCCUCCGCCAGGCUCCGUCGCUCCUCCGACGGCCACGACAUCACACCAGCUGGGUGCCAAGAUCUCUCCGGCUGCCACAUCGGCAUGUACUUAGGGCGCUAGCUCUCCCCCGCUAGACACGUAGCACUCUGCUACACCCCCAUUGUACACCUGGAUCCUCUCCUUACGUCUAUAAAAGGAAGGACCAGGGCCCUCUUAGAGGGGGUUGGCCGCGCGGGGACGAGGACGGGACAGGCGCUCUCUUGGGGCCGCUCGCUUCCCUCUCCCGCGUGGACGCUUGUAACCCCCUACUGCAAGCGCACCCGACCUGGGCGCGGGACGAACACGAAGGCCGCGGGAUUUCCACCUCUCUCACGCCCAUCUCCGGCCACCUCACUUCCCCCCUUCGCGCUCGGCCUCGCGUCGACCCAUCUGGGCUGGGGCACGCGGCGACAUUCACUCGUCGACUUAGGGACCCCCCGGUCUCGAAACGCCGACAGUUGGCGCGCCAGGUAGGGGCCUGCUGCGUGUUGACGAACAGCUUCUCGUCAAGCUCCAAAUGGGCAGUCUCCAGCAACCUCUCCGACCCGGGAUGGUGCUCCGUUUCGGGAGUCUUGAGUUCAUGUCCUUCGACGGCAGCUACGAUAUGAUACUCCUUCCACCGCCGCGCGACAACAAUAAUGGCGGCCGACAGCCCGCCCGCCGGCGGCGGAAUCGACGACGUCUUCCCCGCGUGGUGGAAGAACAACAUUCGAGUUCGCCCCGUCCUCUCCCCCGCCAACGGAGGAGGAGGCGGGGCAACCAAGGCCAAGCGGGAGGCCGCGCCUCGUCGGCUGUCGAGCGAGUCGACGUCCCCGGCGCCCCAACGGGGGGCGCGUCGGGCGUCGACCUCGCGUUUGAGACGAAGGCGAGCGCCGUCUCCCCGCGGCACGCCAAUCCCGAGCAAGUGGAUGACGCCAGUGCGCUCGCGGAGAGCUUGCGGGACGUCGCCCUCGUACCCGAGACGGCGGUGCAAUAAGUCCCCGACGUGACUAUGUCGCUGCUCGUCGACCGAAAGGUACCGACCGAUUCCCAUCCUACGUCAUUUGGACUCAGCUUCAACCCGCCUAGCGACCUUGCUUUGGCGGGCGCUCACGUAGAGGCGAGUUCAAACCCUCUGGGGUUUCGCAUGCGGUCGCCUUGGGACCGGCUGACGGACGUCUCGACCUACGGGCCCUUUGGGUCCGAGGAAGAUGACGACCCCAACACCUGUUGGGACUUCUCUGGAUUUGGCAACCCCAGUGCCAUGCGGGACUUCAUGACCGCAUGUGACUACUGCCUCUCCGACUGUUCCAACGGUAGCCGCAGCCUCGACGACGAGGACUGCGGCCCAAGCCGCGAAUGUUUCCACGUCGAUCUAGGGGAUCCCUCCGAAGGCAAUCAUCUCGGCAUGCCGGAGGACGGUGAUCUCCCUAGGCCGGUGCCUCGCGCUGACAUCCCACGGGAGCUAGUUGUGGUCCCCGUUCCGGCGGGGGGUCACGACCCACAGCUCGAGCAAGUCCGCGGGGCGCAGGCCAGGCUCGACGAGGGAGCAGGAGCGCUUGAGCCGAUCCGCCGGGACGUCGGGCAGGUAUGGGCGGGCCAACCCCCGGCCGGAGAAAUACGUCACCUGCCCUAGGGUCUCCAGCACCGCGUCGCCAACGAAGUCAGGGUCAGGCCGCCACCCGCAUCCAGUGGGGUCGGUCAGAACCUGGCUGCAGCAGCGAUGCUUCUCCGCGCGAUGCCGGAGCCAUCAACCACCAAGGGUCGGCGAAUCCAGGGAGAGCUCAAGAAUCUCCUGGAAGGCGCUGCGGUCCGACGGGCCGAGAGCUCUGCCUCCCGAAGGUAGGGAUACCCCUCGGAACCUCAUGCCGUGACUUCCCGAUUCAUGCGGGAAGCCUCGGUCUACACCGGGCGCACGCGCAACACUGCGCCUGCGGCCCCGGGCCACCUCGGCAACGAGCACCAUCAUCGCGACCGUCGGGCCCACCUCGACGAGAGGGUGCACCGAGGUUACCACCCCAGGCGUGGGGGACGCUACGACAGCGGGGAGGAUCGGAGUCCCUCGCCCGAACCACCCGGUCCGCAGGCCUUCAGCCGGGCCAUCCGACGGGCGCCGUUCCCGACCCGGUUCCGACCCCCGACUACUAUCACAAAGUACUCGGGGGAAACGAGACCGGAACUGUGGCUCGCGGACUACCGCCUGGCCUGCCAACUGGGUGGAACGGACGACGACAACCUCAUCAUCCGCAACCUCCCCCUAUUCCUCUCCGACACCGCUCGCGCCUGGUUGGAGCACCUGCCUCCGGGGCAGAUCUCCAACUGGGAUGACCUGGUCCAAGCCUUCGCCGGCAAUUUCCAGGGCACGUACGUGCGCCCUGGGAAUUCCUGGGACCUCUGAAGCUGCCGGUAGCAGCCGGGAGAGUCUCUCCGAGACUACAUCCGGUGAUUCUCGAAGCAGCGCACCGAGCUGCCCAACAUCACCGACUCGGAUGUCAUCGGCGCGUUCCUUGCCGGCACCACCUGCCGCGACCUGGUGAGUAAGUUGGGUCGCAAGACCCCCACCAGGGCGAGCGAGCUGAUGGACAUCGCCACCAAGUUCGCCUCUGGCCAGGAGGCGGUCGAAGCUAUCUUCCGAAAGGACAAGCAGCCCCAGGGCCGCCCAUCGGAAGAUGCUCCCGAGGCGUCUACUCCGCGCGGCGCCAAGAAGAAAGGCAAGAAGAAGUCGCAAGGGAAACGCGACGCCGCCGACGCGGACCUUGUCGCCGCCGCCGAGUACAAGAACCCUCGGAAGCCCCCCGGAGGUGCCAACCUCUUCGACAAGAUGCUCAAGGAGCCGUGCCCCUAUCAUCAGGGGCCCGUCAAGCACACCCUUGAGGAGUGCGUCAUGCUUCGGCGCCACUUCCACAGGGCCGGGCCACCCGCGGAGGGUGGCAGGGCCCGCGACGACGACAAGAAGGAAGAUCAUCAAGCAGGAGAGUUCCCCGAGGUCCGCGACUGCUUCAUGAUCUACGGUGGGCAUGCGGCGAAUGCCUCGGCUCGGCAUCGCAAGCAAGAGCGCCGGGAGGUCUGCUCGGUGAAGGUGGCGGCGCCAGUCUACCUAGACUGGUCCGACAAGCCCAUCACCUUCGACCAAGCUGACCACCCCGACCACGUGCCGAGCCCGGGGAAAUACCCGCUCGUCGUCGACCCCGUCGUCGGCGACGUCAGGCUCACCAAGGUCCUUCAUGAUCUACGCCGAGACCCUCAGGCUCCUGCGCGUCGAUCUGUCCUCCGUCCGAGCAGGCGCUGCGCCCUUCCACGAGAUCAUUCCAGGGAAGCGCGUCCAGCCCCUCGGACGACUCGACCUUCCCGUCUGCUUCGGAACGCCCUCCAACUUCCGAAGGGAGAUUCUGACGUUCGAGGUGGUCGGGUUCCGAGGAACCUACCACGCGGUACUGGGGAGGCCAUGCUACGCGAAGUUUAUGGCCGUCCCCAACUACACCUACCUGAAGCUCAAGAUGUCGGGCCCCAACGGGGUCAUCACCGUCGGCCCCACGUACAAACACGCGUUCGAAUGCGACGUGGAGUGCGUGGAGUACGCCGAGGCCCUCGUCGAGUCCGAGGCCCUCAUCGCCGACCUGGAAAGCCUCUCCAAAGAGGUGCCAGACGUGAAGCGCCAUGCCGGCAACUUCGAGCCAGUGGAGACGGUCAAGUCCGUCCCCCUCGACCCCAGUGGCGACGCCUCCAAGCAGAUCCGGAUCGGUUCCGGGCUCGACCCCAAAUAGGAAGCAGUGCUCGUCGACUUUCUCUGCGCGAACGCCGACGUCUUCGCGUGGAGUCCCUCGGACAUGCCCGGCAUACCGAGGGAUGUCGCCGAGCACUCGCUGGAUAUUCGGGCCGGAGCCCGACCCGUCAAGUAGCCUCUGCGCCGAUUCGACGAGGAGAAGCGCAGAGUGAUAGGCGAGGAGAUCCACAAGCUAAUGGCAUCAGGGUUCAUCAAAGAGGUAUUCCAUCCCGAAUGGCUUGCCAACCCUGUGCUUGUGAGAAAGAAAGGGGGGAAAUGGCGGAUGUGUGUAGACUACAUUGGUCUUAACAAAGCAUGUCCGAAGGUUCCCUGCCCUCUGCCUCGCAUCGAUCAAAUCGCGGAUUCCACUACUGGGUGCGAAACCCUGUCUUUCCUCGACGCCUACUCAGGGUAUCACCAAAUCAGGAUGAAAGAGUCCGACCAGCUCGCGACUUCUUUCAUCACGCCCUUCGGCAUGUACUGCUAUGUCACCAUGCCGUUCGGUUUGAGGAAUGCGGGCGCGACGUAUCAGCGGUGCAUGAACCAUGUGUUCGGCGAACACAUCGGUCGCACGGUCGAGGCCUACGUCGAUGACAUCGUAGUCAAGACGAGGAAAGCUUCCGACCUCCUCUCCGACCUUGAAGUGACAUUCCGAUGUCUCAAAGCGAAAGGCGUCAAGCUCAAUCCCGAGAAGUGCGUCUUCGGGGUGCCCCGGGGCAUGCUCUUGGGGUUCAUCGUCUCCGAGCGGGGCAUCGAAGCCAACCCGGAGAAGAUCGCAGCCAUCACCAGCAUGGGGCCCAUCAAGGACUUAAAAGGCGUACAGAGGGUCAUGGGAUGUCUCGCGGCCCUGAGCCGCUUCAUCUCACGCCUCGGCGAAAGAGGCCUGCCUCUGUACUGCCUCUUAAGGAAGGCCGAGUGCUUCGCUUGGACCCCUGAGGCCGAGGAAGCUCUCGGGAACCUGAAGGCGCUCCUUACAAAGGCGCCUAUCUUGGUGCUUCCAGCUGACGGAGAAGCCCUCUUGGACUACGUCGCCGCGACCACUCAGGUGGUUAGCGCCGCGAUUGUGGUCGAGAGGCAAGAAGAGGGGCAUGCAUUGCCCGUUCAGAGGCCAGUUUACUUCGUCAAUGAGGUACUGUCCGAGACCAAGAUCCGCUACCCACAAGUUCAGAAGCUGCUGUAUGCAGUGAUCCUGACGCGGCGGAAGUUGCGACACUACUUCGAGUCUCAUCCGGUAACUGUGGUGUCAUCCUUCCCCUUGGGGGAGAUCAUCCAGUGCCGAGAGGCCUCGGGCAGGAUUGCAAAGUGGGCGGUGGAAAUCAUGGGCGAGACAAUCUCGUUCGCCCCUCGGAAGGCCAUCAUGUCCCAGGUAUUGGCGGACUUCGUAGCCGAAUGGGUCGACACCCAGCUACCGACGGCUCCGAUCCAACCGGAGCUCUGGACCAUGUUUUUCGAUGGGUCGCUGAUGAAGACGGGAGCCGGCGCGGGCCUACUCUUCAUCUCGCCCCUCGGGAAACACCUACGCUAUGUGCUACGCCUCCAUUUCCCGGCGUCCAACAAUGUGGCUGAGUACGAGGCUCUGGUCAACGGGUUGCGGAUCGCCAUUGAGCUAGGGGUCAGGCGCCUCGACGCCCGCGGUGACUCGCAGCUCGUCAUCGACCAAGUCAUGAAGAACUCCCACUGCCGCGACCCGAAGAUGGAGGCCUACUGCGAUGAGGUUCGGCGCCUGGAAGACAAGUUCUACGGGCUCGAGCUUAACCACAUCGCUCGGCGCUACAACGAGACUGCGGACGAGCUGGCAAAAAUAGCCUCGGGGCGAACAACGGUUCCCCCGGACGUCUUCUCCCGGGAUCUGCACCAACCCUCCAUCAAGAUCGACGACACGCCCGAGCCUGAGGCGCCCUCGGCCCAGUCCGAGGUACCCUCGGCCCAGCCCGAGGCACCCUCAGCUUGGCCCGAGGCGCCCUCGGUUCAGCCCGAGGUACCCUCGACCCCCGAGGGUGAGGCACUGCGUAUCGAGGAGGAGCGGAGCGGGGCCACGCCUGAUCGAAAUUGGCAGACCCCGUACCUGCAAUAUCUCCGCCAAGGAGAGCUACCCCUCGACCGAGCCGAGGCUUGGCGUGUAGCGCGACGCGCCAAGUCGUUCGUCUUGCUGGGCGAUGAGAAGGAGCUCUACCACCGCAGCCCCUCGGGCAUCCUCCAGCGAUGCAUCUCCGUUGCCGAAGGUCAGGAAUUCCUGCAAGAGAUACACUCGGGGGCUUGCGGCCAUGACGCAGCGCCUCGAGCCCUUGUCGGGAAUGCCUUCCGGCAAGGCUUCUACUGGCCAACGGCGGUGGCUGACGCCACUAGAAUUGUCCGCACCUGCGAAGGGUGUCAAUUCUAUGCGAAGCAGACCCACCUGCCCGCUCAGGCUCUACAGACGAUACCCAUCACCUGGCCCUUUGUUGUGUGGGGUCUGGACCUCGUCGGCCCCUUGCAGAAGGCGCCCGGGGGCUACACGCACCUGCUGGUCGCCAUCGACAAAUUCUCCAAGUGGGUCAAGGUCCGACCUCUGAACAGCAUCAGGUCCGAGCAGGCGGUGACGUUCUUCACCAACAUCAUCCAUCGCUUCGGGGUCCCGAACUCCAUCAUCACCAACAACGGUACCCAGUUCACCGGCAGGAAAUUCUUGGACUUCUGCGAGGAUCACCACAUCCGGGUGGAUUGGGCCGCCGUGGCUCAUCCCAUGUCGAAUGGGCAAGUAGAGUGUGCCAAUGGCAUGAUUCUACAAGGGCUCAAGCCUCGGAUUUACAACGACCUCAACAAGUUCGGCAAGCGAUGGAUGAAGGAACUCCCCUCGGUGGUCUGGAGCCUGAGGACAACGCCGAGCCGGGCCACGGGUUUCACGCCGUUCUUCCUGGUCUACGGGGUCGAGGCCGUCUUGCCCACUGACCUGGAAUACGGCUCCCCGAGGACGAAGGCCUACAGCGAUCAAAGCAACCAAGCUAGCCGAGAAGACUCGCUGGACCAGCUGGAAGAGGCUCGGGACAAGGCCUUACUACACUCGGCGCGGUACCAGCAGUCCCUGCGACGCUACCACGCCCGAAGGGCCCGGCCCCGAGACCUCCAGGUGGGCGACCUGGUGCUUCGGCUGCGGCAAGACGCCCGAGGGAGGCACAAGCUCACGCCCCCCUGGGAGGGGCCAUUCGUCAUCGCCAAAGUUCUGAAGCCCGGAACGUACAAGCUGGCCAACAGUCAAGGCGAGGUCUACGGUAACGCUUGGAACAUCCAACAGCUACGUCGCUUCUACCCUUAAGAUGUUUUCAAGUUGUUCAUAUACCUCGCACCCACGCAAAGUUUAGUCAUCAAGGAAGGGUCGGCCUUGCCUCGGCAAAGCCCGACCCUCCCUCGGGGGCUAAAAGGGGGGGAACCCCCUCUGCGUUGAAAUUUUCCUCGAAAAAAGAUCUCUUCUGCCAGAAUAUCUUUCGUGCUUUCUGACUACUUCGAAAAGUGGAUCCUGAAAACGACGGAGUACACGUAAGCAGCCAAGGCUGACCGAGCCGAGGGACUCCUACGCCUCCGGGAUACGGAUACCUCACUCAUCACCUUCUGCGAUAAGUAACUCGCGUUCGGAUAAAGUGAUUCCGCGGACCGAACAAGUCUUCACGUACGGAAGCUCUUCUACCGAAGCGAUCCUUCGAGCCUUCUCGACUGAGUCGGUGACAGGGCCUCAUGGACGGGUGAAAGUGCGCGUAAGCGGCAAGCCCGACCGAGCCGAGGGACUCCCACGCCUCCGGGAUACGGAUACCUCACUCAUCACCUUCCACGAGAAGCAACUCUCGCUCGCACAAACAUCCCUGUUACCGACAAAAAAGUCCAGAUACUCGAAACAAGAGGAAAAGAGACGCAGCUUUACAACGCAGCGAGGGUGUGUGUUCUGGCCUCGGCGGCCGCAGUAAGACACACGCACAUCCAACAGAAACUGUUCCAACAAGAGUUAGGCGCCGCCUUGGGAAGGAGCCGCGCCUUCAGCUCCGUCCCCGCCUUCGGUAAGGUCCAUCUCGGCUUCCGGCGACGGCGCAGGGGGAAGGAUCUCCGCCUCAAAGGUGGUCGCCAGCACUGCGCUCGGACCCGCGGCAACUGCGUCGAGCCGCUAAACUUCUGCCAGGGCAGCUUCGUCUUCGUCAGGAAGACAAUACCCCUCACUAACCCGCUCCAGGUCCACAACGUAGUGGGAAGCGAGCACGGCGAAGGCCCGCCUGACGCCGUGGUGUAGCGCCUCGCGGACUCUGCCGCGCGCGUGAUCACCCAAGGCUUGAAGGCGGCUUUGAGGGGAGCUUCCUGAAGGGACGUCGCCGGAGCCAAGGAUCCGAUAAACGUCCGAGACGGCUUCGGACAUGGCCGCGAGGUCAGCCUCCCUCUGCUCGACAGCUCCGGCAAGCGCCUCGGCAAGCGCCUUGGCGGACUCGUCAAGGGCGGACUCGAGCUCUACGAACAGCCAGAAGAAAGAUCUCAAACACAAGCAGAGGAAACAGACAAGAACAAGAACCAGGGACGGCCAAGGCGUACCUCCGGCUCGGGCACGCUGCUCCGAGGCCGCGGCCUGGGCUGCAGCUAAGUCGGCUGCGAGGGUUUCAGCCCGGCUUUCGGCCUCGGUAGCCCGGCCCCGAGAUUGGUCCCGCUCCUCGACGACCUGGACGAACUCCGACCUCUGCCGUUGCGCCUCUGCGCGCGCCGCUGCCGCCUCCGCGCGCGCUGCUGCCGCCUCGGCUCUCAGGUCAGUGUAGAGCAACUGGAGGUCCGCUACCUUGGCACCCUGCUGAGAAAGGCGCGCAGUAGCCCCGGCGAGCGAGGUCCUCAGGGAUCGCAGGGAGCCCCAGACAUCGACCUCGCGGCGGAUGAACGACGACUUGGCGGCGCUCCGAUCCGUCAGAUCCUGGGGAAGGAAACGGGGCGUCACGAAGAACGCCUCGUUCGCAGAAAAGAAAAGGUAUGCCUGAAACCGUUACCUGGAGGAUUUUGGGGACGUCCCUGCAGAAAACCUCCAGCGACGACCUGAGCGACCCCACCGUUGCUUCAGCACACUCGCGGAGCUCAUCCCAGGACUGGUCCUCAUGUUCAUCGUCGAGAAUGAAGACAGGGUCCGAGGCCUCGCGGGUCCGAAACCGGAGCAACUGGCGCCGGGCCCCGGGGCUCCGCCGCACAGCGAUGAGGCUGCCGCCCGGCUGGCCGGAUCGCGCCUCCACGCCCACCUCUUCCGAGGCACUGGGCGCCGACGCAUCAGCUGUCUCGACGCCGGCAGCAAUCGGUCGCUCUCCGACUGGGACGGCGGCGACUUCGGUAUCGGCAGGCGCCAGCAUGGCCGGCACGUUAGGUGGGCUCGGGACCACGUCAGCGUCAGCCGCCUCCCCUAUCACGAUGGCUGCCUCGGCAGAAGAGCCAGCCUCGGGAACCUGCUCCACAGCGACAGGUGCCGCCCGAGCCCCCUGCGUUGAAACGCCCUGCGAGAGGGUCGGCUGAACGACAAGGCCCAGAGCGGCGCUGGCCGCACAGGCCGGCGCCGUCUUAAGGGCCUUCCGGGGUGCCAGGUCGGUCUGGCCAUGGCUUCGCUUGCUGAGGGAAGAAGGAAAAUCACGGCCGAGACAUAUGAAUGGAAAGCUAGGACGAAGACAUUCCGAGAUACCUACCCGCUCCGGGCCAUGAUCCACCGCGCCUGGGGGGAAGUUUCUUGGAUCCCAGCUCCCGGAACGGCCGCCGAGGUCCGCUUCGCCGGCAACUUCGGCGCCACCCUUGCUUUGGACACCCGGGGAGCAGAUUGCCCGGGCACUGUCACGAUGACUUGAGGGUCACCUCCAUGCGCUGCCGGCACGAGCGGCGGCUCUUGGGGAGCAGACGCCCUGACCUGGCCCCCCGAAGUCACCUCAGCUCCUCCGGCCGAGGGGUCAGGUGUCCUCUCGGGUUGCCCCCGUGCCUCGGACCGGGACCCCGACGCCCCGACUCCGGGGACUGACGGCGUCGGCCCGCUCGGGGGCUGGCUCGACGGCUCCUGGCCACACCCCAAGACGGGGCUGAGGCCGAGACGGGCGGCCAUGUCGUCCUCCUCCUCCUCAUCAUCAUCGUCGUCGUCGUCGUCUGGCGUUUCCGGCGACGGCUCCCUCGGGAGUCCCUCCCUCUCCUGCUGGCGACGGCGCUUUUCCAAGGCGUCUCAAGCCCGCCUCCGCUCACGGGCCCGGGCCUUCUCCGCGUCCUUCUUCCUCUCCUUCUCCUCCGCGGCGACCCGCCGCGCUGCUCGGUCCACCGCAUCCUGUGGGACCCGUGGCCGAGAAGGCUUGUGCCACCCCACCUCCUGAAGAAGGGGGGGAAAGAAGCCCGAUCGUGAGAACCAGGAGCAACCCAAUGUAUGAAGAAGGAAGGAGCGAACACUCACCAGAGUCACGCACCCCUGGUCGGGGCGCAUACGAAGCUGGGAGAAGGCGUGGGGGUCCGGCUUCCCCAACGCACCGGACACCCGCCAUUGGAGGGCGUCGAAGGGAAGAGGAUCAGGGGACAUCCGCGAGCCCUCCCAGUCAGCCUCCGGGGUCAUCUCCCAAAGCGACAGUCGUCACUCCGCCAAGGGAAGCACCCUCCGACGGUGGAUGGCGGCAAUCACUCCCGCAGCGGUGAGUCCCCCCUCCCGCAACGCCUCCAAGGCUUGGAGAAGAGGACCGAGGUUCUUCUGUCUUUCGUGCGGGGUCCCGUGACGCCAGGCGUCAGUGGCGGUGGUGACUACUCGCUGGGAGAACGGCGGGAGCAACUCGCCGUCGUUCCGAAGGUAGAACCACCGGCGCUGCCACCCCUUGUUCGAGAACGCGAGGAUGGCAGGAAUAUACUGCGACGCCCGCGACUGCCUCAGCAGGAGGGUGCAGCCGCCGGCCCGCACCGCUGCGCAGACCUUCCUCUCCCCCGUCGGCGAGGCAAAAAGCUCGGCGAAAAAGAGAUGGGUCCACAAAUCCCAAUGGGGGGCGAUCCCCAAAUACCCCUCGCACACCGCUACGAAGAUAGCGGCCUGCGAGAUGGAGUUGGGGGUGAGGUUGUGCAACUGCACCCCAUAGUGGUAUACAGGAUCGCCCGCAUAAAGCGGCCCGCCAGCACACCGAAUCCCCGCUCGUGGAAGGAGACGAAGCUCACGACGUACCCCGGCGGUGGGGAUGGAGCGGCUCCGCCCACGGGAGGAAUCCAUUCUGGUCGCUGCUCAUCGGUGAGAGGGCGAAGCAAACCCUCGCCGACCAGAUCCUCCAGAUCGCUCGCCGUCACCGUGGAAAAGGGCCAUGGAUCGCGCGGCGAGAUGAUGGUCACCCGGUCACCAAUCACCCAACGGAAGGGAUGGCGGCGCAAGGGGCAGGAAGGGCAGUUUUCUCUUCUCUGGCUAAAGUCUCUCGGGUUGAGAAAACCUAAGAAGGAGGCAGGAAGCGGAGCGAAGAACCAUCACCUGACCCUCUCCCAGGUAUAUAAAGACCAAGGCGAGACCGUUUCCAACGUUCCGCCCGGACCGGAUGCGGGAUUCAAAAAACGCGAAGCGAAACAGCCGUUCCUCGAAUGGCUCGCGCACGCGCAACGGCCGCCCUGCCAACAACUCGUCCCGUCGCAUUAACUCUGUGGCGGGACAGACGGCGCUUCAGGCAGGAGGAGCGGGCGACGCUUCGCCUUCGCCGUAAUAACCGCGCCAAAAAAGGUACGCCGCGUCGUUCGAUUUCGUAUCCUUUUCCGUUUUUCCUCUUUCUCUAUCUCUUGCAACAGGGACCGAGAAAGGGGGAUACCCCGAAAGGGAUCCUUCCCCGUGAAGGAACCGGGCUCCGAGCCUCCCUACUGAUCAGAGGUUCGAAGGCUGGCCCCCCGAGGGGUUCAAGAGCCGCCUCAGAUCGCGUGGGCCCUACACCCACUACUGGUCAGAGGUUUGAAGGCCGGCCCCCCGAAGGGUUCCACGGCCGCCUCAGGCUACUCGGGCUCCGCGCCCAUUACUGAUCAGGGGUUCGAAGGCUAGCCCCCGAAGGGUUCACAGCCGCCUCAGACGCCGAGCGAGGGAUGACCAGGGGAACGUUCGAUACAUAACCAAGGCUCGGGCUGCGCUACCGAGGUACCCUAGGACAUUUCCGAGACCAGCGGGAGCGAUCUUGUAACGGAAUCCCAUCAGAGGGAGGCAUCGAGCCCUCAGACCCCGUUGCUAGGGGACCGGGUCCGGCAGAUCACCCGCAGGUACUUUUGGGCGUGCCUCUGGGCCCCUAGCCGACCCCUAACGAACGGGGCACGGACGUCCACUCGGAUUACCCGCUUGCAGCUCACCGGAGACACCAUGUUCGGCGCCCAUCGAGGGUAACAUGGCACUUCCCCCCUCCUCCUUGCGGAAAGGCGACGCAGGGGCGUAUGUAAAAAAGCCGAGUCUGUCCCUGAUCGCCCUCUCGCCCUGUGCGGAGGCUCGGGGGCUGCUCUCGCAAACCCGGCUCCGGCCGAACCGUUGACAGCGUCAACAUACCAGCCCGAGAACUUGGGCCCCGACCGUACACCCGGGCUACGGCCAGUUCGCAUGAGGGAACAACCAGACCGGCCGAAGCAUUACGCAAGGCAUUAAGACCUCGGAGGAGUGAAACCACUCCUCCGAGGCCUCGGGGGCUACAACUGGCGGGUGCGCUCGCGCGCACCCACCGGAACAAAAUGCAACCGAGAAAGGCUGGUCCCCUUGCAAAAAAGUGCGACGAACGCCUCCAAGCGAGUGCUAACACUCCCUUCGAGGCUCGGGGGCUACUGUCGGGGACCAUAAUUAGGGGUACCCUCAAGACUCCUAAUUCUCAGCUGGUAACCCCCAUCAGCAUAAAGCUGCAAAGGCCUGAUGGGUGCGAUUAAGUCAGGGAUCAGUCCAUUCGAGCGACUCGAUCAUGCCUCGCCCGAGCCUAGCCUCGGACAAGGGCAGCCGACCCCGGAGGAUUUCCGUCUCGCCCGAGGAUCCCCUCCAACGGCGGACACAUCUCCGGCUCGCCCGAGGCCCUGCCUUCGCUAAGAAGCAACCCUGACUAAAUCGCCGCACCGACCGACCGAAUCACAGGAGCAUUUAACGCAAAGGUGGCCUGACACCUUUAUCCUGACACACGCCCCCGGCAGAGCCGAAGUGACCGCCGUCACUUCGCCGCUCCACUGACCGGCCUGACAGAAGGACAGCGUCGCCUGCGCCACUCCGACUGCAGUGCCACUUGACAGAGUGAGACUCACAGGCAGUCAGGUCCUGCCAAAGGCACCAUAGGAAGCUCCGCUCCGCCCGACCCAGGGCUCGGACUCGGGCUAAGUCCCGGAAGACGGCGAACUCCGCUCCGCCCGAUCCCAGGGCUCGGACUCGGGCUAAGUCCCGGAAGACGACGAACUCCGCUCCGCCCGACCCAGGGCUCGGACUCGGGCUAAGUCCCGGAAGACGGCGAACUCCGCUCCGCCCGACCCAGGGCUCGGACUCGGGCUAGGUCCCGGAAGACGGCGAACUCCGCUCCGCCCGACCCAGGGCUCGGACUCGGGAUAAGUCCCGGAAGACGGCGAACUCCGCUCCGCCCGACCCAGGGCUCGGACUCGGACUAAGUCCCGGAAGACGGCGAACUCCGCUCCGCCCGACCCCAGGGCUCGGACUCGGGCUCAGCCCCAGAAGACGACGAACUCCGCUUCGCCCGACCCCAGGGCUCGGACUCCGCCCUGGCCUCUGCCGAACGACCUCCGCCUCGCCUGACCUAGGGGCUCGGGCUCGGCCUCGGCCAUGGAAGACAGACUCGACCUCGGCUUCGGAGGAGCCUCCACGUCGCCCAACCUAGGGCGCAGGCCAGCCACGUCAACAGGAAGCGCCAUCAUCACCCUACCCCAAGCUGACUUGGGCCGCAGAGAACAAGACCGGUGUCCCAUCUGGCUAGCUCCGCCAGAUAGGCAAUGAUGGCGCCCCGCACGCUCUGUGAUGACGGCGGCUCUCAGCUCUCUUACGGGAGCAGGAGGACAUCAGCAAGGACCCGACCGCUCCGACAGCUGUCCCUCCGCCAGGCUCCGUCGCUCCUCCGACGGCCACGACAUCACACCAGCUGGGUGCCAAGAUCUCUCCGGCUGCCACAUCGGCAUGUACUUAGGGCGCUAGCUCUCCCCCGCUAGACACGUAGCACUCUGCUACACCCCCAUUGUACACCUGGAUCCUCUCCUUACGUCUAUAAAAGGAAGGACCAGGGCCCUCUUAGAGGGGGUUGGCCGCGCGGGGACGAGGACGGGACAGGCGCUCUCUUGGGGCCACUCGCUUCCCUCUCCCGCGUGGACGCUUGUAACCCCCUACUGCAAGCGCACCCAACCUGGGCGCGGGACGAACAUGAAGGCCGCGGGAUUUCCACCUCUCUCACGCCCAUCUCUAGCCACCUCACUUCCCCCCUUCGCGCUCGGCCUCGCGUCGACCCAUCUGGGCUGGGGCACGCGGCGACAUUCACUCGUCGGCUUAGGGACCCCCCGGUCUCGAAACGCCGACACCCACCGGCGCUUAACACCAUCCACAUCAGCACAAAUCUAGUACCUGCAACAACGUGGGUUCGAAAACCCUGAGUACGAAGUGUACUUUCGCAAGUCUUACCCGACUAAGGAAAAAGACUCUCAAGGAUAUGCUGGAUUUGGGAAUCAAGGAAAGGCUUUUAGUAAGAAUUAACAUUAAUAGUUUGCAGAAAACUUACUAAAAUGAGUCCUUACUUUCAACAUUUUAAUGCUAGAUUAAGUAUAAAUAGACCUUGUUUGCAUCUAGUCUAAUUUCAUCAUCACAUUAAUCAAUACAACAUGAUUUUUGCUCAUUAUGAUUCCAUCCAUGACUUAGAUUGCAGGUCAGUGACCAAGUCUUCAUAUCCGAGAAGUAACGGCGAUCCGAAUCGAUUAAUACCUAGCUAGGGAUCUCCAACCACACGACAUAUGUAGCACUUAACCCUUUCAUAUGUCAACUCGCCACCGGGUUUCUCAAGACCAGAACGGGUUCACGCCAACCGAGAGCACAUAUACACCACCGUCCAGCCUCUUGCCACGGAGGGUACACGCUACUCUCUCCAUCUCUCCACUCCCAUUGCGUGGUGGCCUUUCUGGUAUUGGUCCGACCGAGGCAAAGCUUACCCAUGACUAGGCAUGUGGCCAGUUAAAAGGUCCUCGAUCAUCAAGCCUACAUUCGCUAUAAUUCUUAAUCAACCUGGGUAGAACAUCACCUGUUCCUAGCCCAUGUCUCGAUUUAAGUACUUUCAUCCUUAGGAUUGUUUGUGUUCCUUAGGAUGAUUAAAACAUCAUAGGGAACCUUGCAUUACAUCUCCCAAUGAUCCUGGUGAAAAUAUUCUUGUAGGUAGAGCCAUCCUUCCUUAGGAUAAACCUGAGCUAGGCAUUAGUGCAAAGGACAAACUCUAUCUGCAAGAUUUACCUCUAGGAAGGACUAAGCAAUUUUUUAAAUCAUAUUUGAUACAUCACUAGAAGUAUCUAUAAAAGGAAUGGAUUUCAAGGUAGCCAAUGCAUCAAAGGGUUUCCACGCAACUCCUACAAACCUAAUGCAGAUUUUGCUAGACUUAAAGUGUGUAAAAAUCAUUUAAAACACAAGGAAGGGGUUGCAUGCACCGGGGCUUACCUGGGAUAACACUAAGUUAGUGUUUGUUAGACGAUGACCACUUGGCGAUCAGCUUUUGUUCUGAUAUUUGCUCAGUCUAUCCGUCUUCAGGUUGAUCCACCAAUAUUAUCUUGUGGAGUAGCCCACCCAUUACAUCAUCUUGGGGUCGACUUGGCUCAUCUUCCGCAUCACGUAAUCAACUAGCGCACCUAAUUGAAAUGCAUCAUGCACAUGAUUGAAUAUGAGCAGGAAUAGCACAAGAUAAAUAAUGCUACACAGUAGAAAACUAAACACUUAAUGGCGAGGCGCAAAACAACACCCAUAAGUAAACUCUAGACAUCGAUAAAUAACUAAACACCAUAAUCUCGCUUCUCUAACUCAUCCGGAUCAAACUCAACAUCACGAAACAAUAAUUUAUCGCAAGUUCUAUGCUCUACUUAGCUAAAGCAUAACACGGAAAGCUAACAAUAUUUAGGAUAAUGAAUACGUAUAACUUAGGAUAAUGAAUAGAAAUAUUUCAAUUAACUUUUAGAACUACUAAUCUAGACUAUUAUGUAUAGCACACCAACUAAAUUAAGCAUCCCACUAAUUAUUCUAACAAGUAGAGCCUUAUCAUACAACAUAGAGUUUCACAAGAUCAUAAUUUAAAUCCUAUACUUAAACCACUAAGGUUUAAUACCCACUAUGCAGUAUUCAUACUUCACCUGGAAUGGACCUAACGAUGAUACUUGCUUUUAACUAAUUAGGCCAACAAUGAACACUUGCAGAAUUUCUGGACAGCAGUCAGCAGUCAAAUGUUUUGCUCAUAACUGACAAAAUAUGCAUACAAAAAUAGUAAACUAGAACUUUCUGAAAAUCUUAUAAAGUCCUCUACGACUUUUGUAUUACAAUCAGAACAAAAUUCGACAUUUAGAAAUGUCAAACAGUGCUAAACCUAAAUUCUGUCCAGAUUGGACAGAAUUCGACUACUCACUUCAAAAAUCCAUAACUGGAGUUUCAGGCAUCCAAAUCUGGUGAUCCUAGACUUUUUAGAUAUCUAAUAGAAUUGUCUACAAUUCCUUUAUAAACAUCUCAGGUUAAUUCAAUACCUAUCAAAGUCAAAAGACAUGAAAAAGGCUCUGCUGUCCAGAUUUGGACAGAUUCAGAGAUCACACUUCAAACAACUGUAAUUUAACUUAUAGAUCACUAAAAAGGGUGAUCAAAAAUUUGUUGGAAAGCUUAAGAAAAGUACCACAAUUCUCCUAUAAUUACUAAAAGCUGAUUCUCAGUUUAACUUAGGCAAACAACGUCAUUUUCGAAAUCUGUACAAAAUUUGGACACAUUCUGAGACUGGGCUUGAGAAAAUCAUAACCCCCAAACUACUAGUUUUAUGGCCAUGAUAUUUUUACACCAACAAGAUAACGAAGUUAGCUACAAUUUAUGUAUAACACUUUCACAGAAAACAUGAUUUACUUCACUCAAUUAUUACCACAACAGAGAGAAUGUGUGCAGCAAAAUUCAGCUUAAGGACAAUCAGAUUCCCUAAGCAAAUAUCACCACAAAGCACCUAUGCUAAUCGCAAAAGAAUCAUGGACCACCUAACUAUUUAGCCCACCAUUCAAGCUGACAAUUAUAGAUAGCAAAGGAACUCAUCCAAAAUUAAAUUCAACUAGAGAACUAUAAGCACAACGUCGAGCUACAAUUUAGCCCAUACGUUGAGCACAUGAUGAACGACACCUCGG